UUUUUUUUUUUUUUUUUUAUUAUUUUAUAAAAAUUUCGGCAGAGUUUCCCCUUAAAAAAGGACGAAACUCCCUGCCAUCAAACCACAAUUUGACAAUAAAUUUACAAGCUAGUGAAAGUUUAAGCAUUUAAAAACUGAAAUUAAGAUUAAAUCUUCAUUUUUCCAUAUCAGGAUGUCUUCCAGUGAAUCUGAAGGAUGAUCUUUGAAGAUUUUAGCAGUCAAUCUUCCUCCCUUGAUGUCCUUCUAACCGCCAUUUUCACCUUCAUUGGCCUUUUCUGCUUCUUAUUCCAAUUCAUGCCAGACACCGUGUACGAAACGUAGGAAAUCCUAAUCGAUCUAAUCUAAUAGCCCCCCUAACCAAUUGCGGCAAUUCUGAGAAUGUAUUAAACACAUGACCUGCACUAGAAUCAGCACCAAAAUUUGCCAAAUGAUCUGCAGGUGCGUUUGCUUCCCUGUAGCAGUGUGUGAUCGAUGUGAAAUAUUGCUUGAACAUCAUCAACUCAUCCAGAUCUCUCUGUAAACGCCAAGGACAAGCACUAGUCCCUUGAACAAUGUGAACCAGGGUGAGAGAAUCCGCCUCUAAGUGUAACUCCAAGCACCCUCGAAUCACACAAUGUCUAACGCCCCAUAGCAACGCUCGAAGUUCCGCCUGCAUGCUGGUUAUCACCCCGAAGGGCUCCGCGUAGCCGAAUACAAAAUUUCCUCGACUAUCCCGCACAAGCCCACCCCCCCCACUCCUUCCUGGGUUCCCCGAGAACAUCCAUCUGAAUUCAACUUAUAGCCUCUACGUGGAGUUACCCAGUAAACUGGCCUAAUAACCAUCCGCCUUUGAUGACUACCUAAUUCGAGAAGCAACCCUUCCCAUGUAGGGGCAGAAGGCUGCACCCCGGGAACCGUGACUGAAGGAAAUCAUGCAGAAACUGAACAAUCCGAUUCACCGUAGGCCUGAUCCUCAUCUUCCGACCUUCAAACACCCCUUCAUUCCUAGCCUUCCAUAAAAUCCAGCAUACCACCGAAGGAAGUAUAUUAUGCAAAAACUUUACACGAUCAUUAGUCCCCCUCCUUAACCAACAAGACCACACCAUAUGACGCACCGUAUGCACCCCACUAAACUCACCAGCAGUACUCUCGAAGUGUCGCCAGACCAAUCGUGCCCCUUCUCCUGAGCAAAACACAUGAUUCAAAUCCUCCUCCUGGGGAUUCUGACAACACAAGCAUCUAGAUGGGCCACAAACCCCAAACCUCUUUAGGCGAUCCAUAAGAGGGAGCCUCCCCUGUAGUAGUCGCAGCAUAAAGAAAGAAACCUUGACUGGAAGACCCUGCUGCCAUAUACGACCAAAAAGCCAAGAAUUGUCAUUGGAUUGACGGAUCAAUGAGUAAGCCGAUGCAGUGGAAAAAACACCCGAGUUCGUCAAUGCCCAUACCAUUGUAUCAUUUCCCCUAUCGGUAGGAGGGUCAAUCUCCAAAACCUGCGUAACCAAUUCUCCAUCCAAGAAUUGAUGGAGCAUGUCCACAUUCCAAGCCCGCCGAUCUACAAAAUCAACCACCGAAUGAUCAUGGAAGACCUCAACCUUGUCACAAAGCGCACCUGACCCCAUCCAAUUAUCAUGCCAAAAGUCCAAAGCCCCCUCCCGAACUACCCAGCUAAUAUUAUCCUCCCCAAAACGCUGCAUUGUAACCAUCCUCUGCCAAACUUGGGAUCCCGAAUGCCCAAUAUCAGCAAGACAAGGGUGAUGACCUGCACAAUACUUCUGGGACAUAAACUUUGCCCAUAAUGAUUGUUGUUGUCGAAAUUUCCACCAGAGUUUAAUGGAAAAUGAGUCGUAGACCUGUUUCAAACCCCGCAGGCCUACACCCCCUUCAUCCUUCGGCCGACACAAAUCUGCCCAACGUAUCCAAUGGAAUUUAUCCCCGAAAUUCGAAGAUCCCCACAAGAACUUGGCGAACAAUUUCUCUAUGACCAUCAACAUCCCUUUUGGAGGGGACGCGGCUGCCAGCAAGUGAAUUGGCAUAGAGGAUAACACGCUCUGAAUCAACACCACCCUGCCUCCUAGCGAUAAUAUCUGGUUUUUCCAACUCAAAAUCCGAUUCGCCACCGCAUUGUAUAUAUCCGUAUAGUAAACCUUCUUGCUCCUUCCGGUAUACAAGGGACAACCAAGGUACCGUAUUGGAAAGUCGCGUUUAUUAUACCCUAGUAUCUGGUUAACAACGGAUAUAUACAAAAUUCUAUCCUGCUAUGCCAAAUGAUGAACUUACCAAACCUAAUCAACUAAAAAAACCAACAAAAUUAUUCACUUGUAUGAAAUUAAUUCUUCUUUAAGUUUUCUAUUGUGCUUGUAUCGAUCAUUGAUAAUACAUCAUAAUACCUAAUUUAGUGUUAUUCAAUCAAUGCAGCAACAAUAGAAUAAAUUCAAUUAAGAAAUUAAUUCGAUAUUCAUUAUAAAACAAAUUAAAAUAAAUUCAAUAGAAUAAAACAAAUUAAAGCUCAAUUUUUGGACAAUAUUCAUCAUAUAAAGAUUUCUCAAUACAAGAAAAGAAGACGGAGCUACAAUGUUUCUUGGAAAGCAGAUUUGCAAGUCCACAAUGGAUAAUGGAUCAACAAAAGUAUUAUUGAGAAGCGGUUUUCUUAUAAGCGUGUUCGGGUGUCUUUUGAAAUUUUAAUCUUUGAACCUAAGAAAAAGGAAAAAAAAGAAAAAGAAAAAAGGAACAGGCCUAGAAUGCAAGGUUAGUAGUAUGUGUUUGAACGUGGUGGGGUUUUUAUUUUUAUUUUUUGAUAGAAAAAUUAUUCAGAGCUUGGUAUGUUUUUGGACUUAAUCAAAGUUAUUAAUGAAGAUGUCAAGAAACUCAAGCUUGUACUUUUUAUUUUUCUAUCUGAAUAUUAACUUUUGUUUGCCCUGCUGUUUGUUACAUUCAUGCCGACAUCAAACAAAUUGUAUGAAGUCAAAAUUACAUUGACUUGGAUAGAUUUAUUUAUUUACAUAUGAAUCACAAAAUCAAUGAUUAAAUCAAAUUUGAUUUGAACAUCGAGGUCAUUGUUCUUCAUCAUAUUUAUGUUUGAUAAUUCAGUCAUUCUGUUUUUGAGAGUCAUGGUGGGACUUUAUCAUUUCAAUUAAAUUUCACUUUGCACCCUUCAACUAUGUCCGAAAAUUUCACUUUGUUCCCCAACCUUUCUAAUGGGACAUUUUAGUCCCUAAAAGUAUGAUAUUUGUUCCACUUUAAUCCAUGAGCUGUAAAAUAUUUCCUAUUUUUAGUUUCCCACUUUUCCCUAGCUAUGGUAUAAAUCUUGUCCAUUUGAUUGUAGGUUUGCGGUUCAGACCUCUAUAUUUGCAAUAAAAUCCAAAGGGCAUGCAGUAGUGUACCUAUUUAGUCUAGAGAUGGGAUUCUCUCCCUUUAGCCCCCUUUGACUCCAUUGGCCCUUCCCUAGUAUAGGUUAGACUUUAGAGUAUGAGUAAGAGUAGGAGUUAACGAUUGACCAAAAAAAAUGUAAAAUUUAUAACUAAUUAACUUACAAUUUAAAAUCACAUAAAUAUGUGGGAAAGAAAAUGCAAAAGUGAACUCUAUUAGUCUAUUAUUUUAUCUAAUUUUAAAUAAUCAAUAUUUUUGAGUUUGUUUUGUAUAGGAAAUUCUUUGGAAAAUCCUUUUGCAAUAAUGUCAUCACACUUUUUAUGAUGUGAUAUAUAUAUAUACACACACACAUCUACAUAUAUACAUAUAUAUAUAGGAUAAAUAAAUAAUUGUAAAAAGAGAAAAAUGAUUAAAAAAUGUGUGGAUGAUGCAAUCAAAAAGUCUUUUGAAAAGAUUUGACAAUCCAAACAAAUCCUUGAUGUUUUCAUUUGCUUUUGCAUCUCUAAUCUUUUAAACUAAUAAAAAAAUUUAAAUUUACUAUCUGAAUUAAGACUUUUUUUGUUUUUGUUUUUGAAUAUCUAUACUUAAGACUUGCUUUAACUAAUUCUCAAUUUUCUCCAUAAUCACAUUUCGCUUUGCCUAAUCAAAUUUUGCUUUGUUUUUCACUUAUAGAAGAUUGACUAAGAGAAUAUCAAUCAUACAUGCCAACCAAUUAAGAAUUUCCAUAUUUAUCUUUCUUUCAAAAUCAUAAUUAUUGAGUAUCUUCCGUGAAAUAAAAAAUUUAUUAUUUGCCUUUUUCUUUCUCUAUGUUAUAUUAAAAAGCAAACACAUUAUCCUUAUCAAACAGGAGUUUAUUGCCACAAUAAUCUUCCUCUUAAAAAAUAUGUUUCCCUUGUUAAUAUGUUUGUUGCCAUGUGGACUUUAAAUAUAUGGAAAACUAAUCACCCUUAAACUUUAGCUCUUCUCUUCUUUCAUCUUGAGAGGUAAAUCCGAUUAAAAUGUCAAUAACUACUCAGAGCUUAAUUAAAAUUCACAUAAUUAGAUGAAUCCUUCAUUGUUUUUAAUAGCUCAAAUUUUGCUACUUCUUCUCUAUAUAUUGUUCAUUGUCUAUCUUGAGGAAAUUCUUAAUAUAUUUGGAAAUUUCUUUAAUCGUCAUAGCAACUAAAAAAUUUUGUUGCCAUUUUUAUGAUGAAUUGCCAUACAAAUAAACUGAAAAUUGAUAAGAGUUUAUUUUACGUAUUUUUAGUGUGUUUUAUUAGUUAAUUUUGGUUUGAUUAUUUAGUAUUAUAACUAAAAUAACUAAGGUUUUGGUAAAAAACUACAUUUUAUGUUAAAAUGGCUAAACAUUGCAUUUUAUGGAUUUUUAUGGUAAAAACUUCAUAUUUUGUAGGUUUAAUGAUUCAAUCAUCAAAUGAAGUGCAUUGAGAAGAUAUUUGGAUGAUUGAAGAUGGAUUAAAGUGGUGAAAAUAAAAUAUGAAGUGUAAAAAGGAAAAAUGCAAUUUGAAUCAAGAAAAGUCAGGUUUUGACAACUCUGACACGUUUUGGUAUUUUGACUAUAUCUGGAGCUACACAGAUCGGAUCAAGGUGAUCUUGGUACCAUUUUGAAGCUAAGAGAUAUAUCUACAUUUGGUAUGAAGACAUCAAAGUCCAGUUCAGCCGUUUUCAUAGUCCAAAAGUUGAAAUACCGAAAUUCAACUCAGCUGUCCAAAGUGGAAAACAGAGCUCUGACCAGUGUUUAGUAUUUCGAUCAUAUCUCAGGCUACAAAGCUCAGAUUUGGAUGAUUCUUGAAGCAUUGGAAAGCUAACUCAAAGGGCUACAACUUUGGUGUUUUACAAAAAAUCCAGUUCAGCCUUUAUGAUAGAGAAAAUCGCAGCUGAAGUAAGGACAAAGUGAAUACGCGAGUACACAAAACGUGACUUGUAACCGCGUUUUGUGUAGGCGCGUUUUCUGGCCGCAAUUCUGCAAUUUUGCUCAGUCAAUUCUCUUGUGUUCUGACUACUUUCCAGCUACAAUCUGCAAGAGAAUUCGGUGCACAUGUUUAGAAGACAAAAGGGCAAGAAAGUUGGCAUAUUUUCAAGUCAAAAACAAUGGCUAUUGACUAUCUUAACAAUUUCAGAUUUGGAAAUCAAAUGCAGCAAGUUUGGACCAAUGGAAAAGGAGCUUUUGGAGCAGUUUAUAUAGGGAGCAACCAGGACAUGCAGAGGAUACGGGAGAUACGGGAGAAGCUUGGAAGUGCAAAAUGUAGUUUUUCCAUUCUCUUAGUAUUAGAUUAGUGUAGUAUAGUUUAGCUAGUUAGUUCAUCCACUCUUGUAUUAUCUAGAUUAGGAUGAAAAUGGAGAUGAAGAAGGCAAGGAUGAGCUCAAGUGACAGGGUUAUUCCUUUCCAACUCUUUAUCUUUUGUAUUUGAUUCCAAGUUUAGCUAAUAUACAAGUUCUGGAUUUUAUAUUUAAUAUGUGUUUUUAAAGUUUAUACCUUGGGUUUGGUUGAACUUCCUAUGAUUGUUAGUGUUUAUUAUUUGGCUAUUUGAUUGCUAUGAUUUGAGCAAGUUAUUUAGCACUUUGGCUCUUAAAUCAUGAUUAAUCUGGUACCAUUAAUUCUGAUUAUCUAAGGUGUUAUUUCUGCAAUGAAAAUUGAGAUUUAACAUUAGUUCAAGAAGUGCUAAACAUAGGGAGUACACUCACGAAAGUAGAGGUGCACCUAUGUGGUUUUUAGUGAUUCAUUUCAUGUAAUUUCACUGAAGAAAUGAACUUGUAGCUAAUUUCAUAACCAUGAGAAUAGGUAUGGAUUAGUUAUAAGUAUAAUUGAUUCACUACGAAAGUAGGAUUCAAAUGCAUAAGGAAAUUACACCAUAAUUAGCCUAGAUGUAGUAUUCAAUGAUCCAAAUAUAACACUUGCAUGAGUAGUUAGGGAUACCACAACCUAAGGAGCUUUUAUUUGUUAAUUUCUUGUAUAAGUGCAGUAGGUUAAAUUUCUUAUCAUUCAUUGAUAGUCUAAAUAAUAGAGAAGCUUUAGUAAUACCGGUAAUUGUUCACUCUUCCUUGUGGGAUCGACCCGAUAUAUACCCUAAACUACUAGUUGAUCUGUAUACUUGCAGUGAACGGGUGUAAUUCGGUAUUUUUUAGCUUGCAUGUAUGUAAAAUACCCGUCAAGUUUUUGGCGCCGUUGCCGGGGAAGAUUUGGCAAUAUCGGUGUGAAGAGCAACUUUAUUAAUUUAGACAAUUUUUCUUAUUUUUGUUGUUUUUGCUGUAUCUUAUGUGUUUUAUGUCAUUUUUUUUUUAAUCAACUUUUAUUUUAUUUUAUUUUUUUCUGUUUUGUUUGUGUCUUGGAAUCUAUCCUUCUUAACUAAUCUUACUUUUGAGAUUGUUUAAAAGUAAUUUUAGAUAAUGAGGAGGGUAGGUGAAUUGGGAGGACAAAGCUUGAGAAAUGAAAGAUUGGCAAUGGAUGGUUACCAAGUGCAAAACUCCUUCAACAGAGGUAACCAAGAAAUUACUGAAGGUAUGUCUUUUGAAGAUGGUUUAAGUGCUUAAAGGCAAAAUUUGAUGUUAUGAUGGACACAAUUAUGCAUGAAAUUGAGCAAGGAGGAAUGUUAAUGAUUUUAAUUCUUAUCAUGUGAUUUGUGACUUGUGUGGAGGUUAUCAUGCUACUAAUACAUGUAUGCAAGCACAAAAUGUGGAUUAUUAUGAUGAAUUAGAGCAUUACAAUCCUUGUUUUGAUCAAUAUAGUGCUAAUUGGAACAAUUCUCCUGUUGUGGUUGGAUAAUCAAUGUACUUAUAAUAAUUCCUCAUAUUUUUACGAUUACCAACCUGAAUGUAUCCAAUAUGAAUCAAAACCAUCUUGGGAGUUGGCAAUUGAAAUGGUAGCUAAUGAUUCUAAGCCAUCUUGGGAGUUAGCUUUAGAAAAAUUAGCUAAUGCAACUUCCAACCGUUUUGAUAGGGUUGAAGAAAGAAUAGAUGAACUGACUUCUCACUUUAGUAGAAUACAAGAGAAAUUGAAUGCAUUGUGUGAAGUUAUUUCCUCUAAAAAUUUGCAAAAUGAUCCUAGCAUGAAUGGUAGGAAUGUUGUAUGUGAAAAUGGAUUUCAUUUGGAUGAAAAUGAUGAAUUUCAAUUGUGUUUUAAUGAGCAAAUAUCCAUUUCACAUGAUAAUAUCUUUGGAACUAACUUGACCUCAAGAGGUGAGUUUUAAUGACUCAUUUUUCACCCCUCUUGAGGAGUGCAUUGAAAGUAUAGGUUCUAAGGGUAUUGCUGCCCAAGAUACUCUCAUGACAUUUCGUUGGUAAGUUCUCAAGUGGUGCAUAUUCAAGGUAAUAUUUAUGAAACACUUGGAUAGGUAAGUCAUUCCAUUUCUCCUAUCAUUAGAUCAUGUGACUUUUGCUAUAAAGUCACCAUUUAAUGAUCCACCACGACCAAAAAUGGUGGAUUAUUCUUUAACUAAGCCUCCUUGAAAAAUGAGGUAGGUCAAUAGUCGAGCAACGACUAUAAAUAAAAGCGCUUAUUGGGAGGCAACCCAAUGUUUUGUUAUUUAUGUUAUUUUGGUGAUUUUAUGUUUAAAGUAUGUGUUUGAGUUAUUUGUUAUUUUUCAUUUGUAGGUAUUGGAAAUGAAGCAAAAGUGACCAAAUGAGGUGAAAAAGGCGAAAUUUGAUCAAGGAACUCAACCCCUCAAUUUGAGUAAUUGUUGUUUUUGAUUGUUAGAAGGGGUUAAAAUGCAUUUUGAUCAUUUUACAUGUGCAUGCAUUGAAUAUUUAGCAAACAAAUGAUCUAUGAUGCAUUUUGAGUAAUUGGGUACUUGUAAUUUUUCAAAAGUUGCUUUCUGCAAAAAUUCGCAGAAGAAAACGCGUUUCUGAAAACGCGCCUUGAAUCGCGUUUUCAUAAUCGCGUUUUCAAUUCUGUGCCUAUACUGAAGAAAACGCGCCUUCAAAACGCGACAGAAGUCGCGUUUUCUACAAAGUCGCGUUUUCAGCCUGUUCAGAAACCAAAAACGCGCCUUCAAAUACGCGACUUAAAGUCGCGUUUUCUCACGUAGUCGCGUUUUCGAUCCUGCAAGAUAUGUGAAGAAACGCGACUUCAUAAAACGCGGCUUGUGGCGCGUUUUGAUGAGUCGCGUUUUCUGAGCAUUUUUAAAAAAAAAAUGCAGCUUCCUUGAUUCUCUUUUUCUUCUUUUCCUCAUAUAUUUUCUUGUACCUUGAGUUGCUUAUUGUGUAUUUUCUAUAGGUACAUCACCAACAAAGGCUUGAAUUACGGAUCGCCGUUUUGUUUAUUAAGCCUUUGUUAUCACUUUUGUUUCUCAUUUUCCAUUUUUAGGUUAUAUCACUAAUGGUUACCAAAUGGAACUCAUGAAGCGAUGAAGACAAGCGAACAACAUACCUUGAAGCUUCAUAUUCAAUCACAACAAUAGGGGAGUAUUAUUAUUAUUUUUUUUAUCUUGAUUUUCCUUCUUACACAUUGAGGACAAUGUGUAUGUUAAGUGUGGGGGGAGAAUUGAGAUUAUAUACAUUGUAUGUGAUUGAAUUAUUAGUUGCAAAUAUUGGACUUGUGUUAAAAUUCAAAAUUUUUCUAAAAUCUUGUCCAAAAUUGCAAACUUGCCCCAAAAAGUUUCAUAUUUUUUCGAUUUUAUCCAAGGGGUACAAGUUCCAUACCAUUAGUAGUUCAAAUUUCUCCUACAUUUGAGAUAAAUAUAUGUGAUUUGGAAACUUCUUUUCUCAUUUAACUUGGAAAUGACUAUUAUGUGAUUAUAAUUUUUGCAUUUGUAGGAAAGUAUAUCUUUUAAAGUGGAGAAAAUUAUACCUAUAUUUUUUUUGCAUAUUUGAUGAAAUUUCUUCUCUUUAUUGAUUUUAUAAGUUAAGUGAUAAAUAUGGUCAAUAAGUGCAAUACUCUUCUCAUGAUUAUUCUUUUGAGGAAUUUAUUAUUAUCUUUGCUGUAAAAAAAAAAAAUGAAAAAAAAAGAAGAAAAAAAAAAAGAUUUAUUCUACUCCAAUGAUUCUUGUACUUAGUAACCGGGAGUCUUCAUCUACAAAUGUCGACUUUCGCGUAAAACGGUACUUGAAUUAAGAGUAUGCAAAGCAACUUGAGUAUGUGAAGUGUUGAGUAACCGGUGAUCUUCAUCUAAAAAUGUCGAUUCUCGCGUCAAAAGACACUUUCACAACUUAAGUAAUAUUUAGCUACGUUAUAUGAAUAAAUAUCUUUUAAGUAGAAUAAAAGAUGAUCAUGAGUUUAGGAAGCAUAUUAUUGACCAUAUGAGUUACUUGCUUGUAAAUUGGGUAAGGAUGAGAAAUUGAAUUAAAUUUGUUAUAAUUACGGUAUAAUUGGCUCUCCUUUACUUGAUAUUAUGAGUACUUGAACUUAAUUGAAUAAUUGCAUAAUGGUUAUUUACUUUGUUUUGAGGAAAUGAAGUUGAAAUGCUACAUAUGUUUAUUUUCAAAUUUUGGAUCAUUGUUGGUUUGUAUUUCUUAUUGCUUGAGGACAAGCAAUGGUUCAAGUGUGGGGGUAUUUGAUAAGAGUUUAUUUUACGUAUUUUUAGUGUGUUUUAUUAGUUAAUUUUGGUUUGAUUAUUUAGUUUAAUAACUAAAAUAACUAAGGUUUUGGUAAAAAACUACAUUUUAUGUUAAAAUGGCUAAACAUUGCAUUUUAUGGAUUUUUAUGGUAAAAACUUCAUAUUUUGUAGGUUUAAUGAUUCAAUCAUCAAAUGAAGUGCAUUGAGAAGAUAUUUGGAUGAUUGAAGAUGGAUUAAAGUGGUGAAAAUAAAAUAUGAAGUGUAAAAAGGAAAAAUGCAAUUUGAAUCAAGAAAAGUCAGGUUUUGACAACUCUGACACGUUUUGGUAUUUUGACUAUAUCUGGAGCUACACAGAUCGGAUCAAGGUGAUCUUGGUACCAUUUUGAAGCUAAGAGAUAUAUCUACAUUUGGUAUGAAGACAUCAAAGUCCAGUUCAGCCGUUUUCAUAGUCCAAAAGUUGAAAUACCGAAAUUCAACUCAGCUGUCCAAAGUGGAAAACAGAGCUCUGACCAGUGUUUAGUAUUUCGAUCAUAUCUCAGGCUACAAAGCUCAGAUUUGGAUGAUUCUUGAAGCAUUGGAAAGCUAACUCAAAGGGCUACAACUUUGUGUUUUACAAAAAAUCCAGUUCAGCCUUUAUGAUAGAGAAAAUCGCAGCUGAAGUAAGGACAAAGUGAAUACGCGAGUACACAAAACGUGACUUGUAACCGCGUUUUGUGUAGGCGCGUUUUCGGCCGCAAUUCUGCAAUUUUGCUCAGUCAAUUCUCUUGUGUUCUGACUACUUUCCAGCUACAAUCUGCAAGAGAAUUCGGUGCACAUGCUUUAGAAGACAAAAGGGCAAGAAAGUUGGCAUAUUUUCAAGUCAAAAACAAUGGCUAUUGACUAUCUUAACAAUUUCAGAUUUGGAAAUCAAAUGCAGCAAAUUUGGACCAAUGGAAAAGGAGCUUUUGGAGCAGUUUAUAUAGGGAGCAACCAGGACAUGCAGGAGAGAUACGGGAGAAGCUUGGAAGUGCAGAAAUGUAGUUUUUCCAUUCUCUUAGUAUUAGAUUAGUGUAGUAUAGUUUAGCUAGUUAGUUCAUCCACUCUUGUACAUUAUCUAGAUUAGGAUGAAAAUGGAGAUGAAGAAGGCAAGGAUGAGCUCAGUGACAGGGUUAUUCCUUUCCAACUCUUUAUCUUUUGUAUUUGAUUCCAAGUUUAGUUAAUAUACAAGUUCUGGAUUUUAUAUUUAAUAUGUGUUUUAAAGUUUAUACCUUGGGUUUGGUUGAACUUCUAUGAUUGUUAGUGUUUAUUAUUUGGCUAUUUGAUUGCUAUGAUUUGAGCAAGUUAUUUAGCACUUUGGCUCUUAAAUCAUGAUUAAUCUGGUACCAUUAAUUCUGAUUAUCUAAGGUGUUAUUUCUGCAAUGAAAAUUGAGAUUUAACAUUAGUUCAAGAAGUGCUAAACAUAGGGAGUACACUCACGAAAGUAGAGGUGCACCUAUGUGGUUUUUAGUGAUUCAUUUCAUGUAAUUUCACUGAAGAAAUGAACUUGUAGCUAAUUUCAUAACCAUGAGAAUAGGUAUGGAUUAGUUAUAAGUAUAAUUGAUUCACUACGAAAGUAGGAUUCAAAUGCAUAAGGAAAUUACACCAUAAUUAGCCUAGAUGUAGUAUUCAAUGAUCCAAAUAUAACACUUGCAUGAGUAGUUAGGGAUACCACAACCUAAGGAGCUUUUAUUUGUUAAUUUCUUGUAUAAGUGCAGUAGGUUAAAUUUCUUAUCAUUCAUUGAUAGUCUAAAUAAUAGAGAAGCUUUAGUAAUACCGGUAAUUGUUCACUCUUCCUUGUGGGAUCGACCCGAUAUAUACCCUAAACUACUAGUUGAUCUGUAUACUUGCAGUGAACGGGUGUAAUUCGGUAUUUUUUAGCUUGCAUGUAUGUAAAAUACCCGUCAAGUUUUUGGCGCCGUUGCCGGGGAAGAUUUGGCAAUAUCGGUGUGAAGAGCAACUUUAUUAAUUUAGACAAUUUUUCUUAUUUUUGUUGUUUUUGUGUAUUUGUUUUUAUGUCAUUUUUUUUGAGUCAAUUUUAGUUUAUUUUUUUUUUCUGUUUUUUGUGUCUUGGAAUCUAUCCUUCUUAACUAAUCUUUUUUUAAGUUGUUUAAAAGCAAUUUUAGAUAAUGAGGAGUAGUCAAUUUGGAGGACAAUGCUUGAGAAAUGGAAGAUUGGCAAUGGAUGGUUACCAAGUGCAAAGCUCCUUCAACAGAGGUAACCAAGAAUUACUGAAUGUAUGUCUUUUGAAGAUGGUUUAAGGUGCUUAAAGGCAAAAUUUGAUGUUAUGAUGGACACAAUUAUGCAUGAAAUUGAGCAAGGGAGGAAUGUUAAUGAUUUUAAUUCUUAUCAUGUGAUUUGUGACUUGUGUGGAGGUUAUCAUGCUACUAAUACAUGUAUGCAAGCACAAAAUGUGGAUUAUUAUGAUGAAUUAGAGCAUUACAAUCCUUGUUUUGAUCAAUAUAGUGCUAAUUGGAACAAUUCUCCUGUGUGUGGUUGGGAUAAUCAAUGUACUUAUAAUAAUUUCAUAUUUUUACGAUACCAACCUGAAUGUGUCCAAUAUGAAUCAAAACCAUCUUGGGAGUUGGCAAUUGAAAUGGUAGCUAAUGAUUCUAAGCCAUCUUGGGAGUUAGCUUUAGAAAAAUUAGCUAAUGCAACUUCCAACCGUUUUGAUAGGGUUGAAGAAAGAAUAGAUGAACUGACUUCUCACUUUAGUAGAAUACAAGAGAAAUUGAAUGCAUUGUGUGAAGUUAUUUCUCUAAAAAUUUGCAAAAUGAUCCUAGCAUGAAUGGUAGGAAUGUUGUAUGUGAAAAUGGAUUAUAUUUGGAUGAAAAUGAUGAAUUUCAAUUGUGUUUUAAUGAGCAAAUAUCCAUUUCACAUGAUAAUAUCUUUGGAACUAACUUUGAGCCUCAAGAGGUGAGUUUUAAUGACUCAUUUUUCACCCCUCUUGAGGAGUGCAUUGAAAGUAUAGGUUCUAAGGGUAUUGCUGCCCAAGAUACUCUCAUGACAUUUCCGUUGGUAAGUUCUCAAGUGGUGCAUAUUCAAGGUAAUAUUUAUGAAACACUUGGGAUAGGUAAGUCAAUUCCAUUUCUCCUAUCAUUAGAUCAUGUGACUUUUGCUAUAAAGUCACCAUUUAAUGAUCCACCACGACCAAAAAUGGUGGAUUAUUCUUUAACUAAGCCUCCUUGAAAAAUGAGGUGAAAUAGUCGAGCAACGACUAUUAAAAAGCGCUUAUUGGGAGGCAACCCAAUGUUUGUUAUUUAUGUUAUUUUGGGUGAUUUUAUGUUUAAAGUAUGUUGAGUUAUUUUGUUAUUUUUCAUUUGUAGGUAUUGGAAAUGAAGCAAAAGUGACCAAAUGAGGUGAAAAAGGCGAAAUUUGAUCAAGGAACUCAACCCUCAAUUUGAGUAAUUGUUGUUUUUGAUUGUUAGAAGGGGUUAAAAUGCAUAUUUUGAUCAUUUUACAUGUGCAUGCAUUGAAUAUUUUAGCAAACAAAUGAUCUAUGAUGCAUUUUGAGUGAUUGGGGUACAAAUGGUAAUUUUUCAAAAUUGCUUUCUGCAAAAAUUUCGCAGAAGAAAACGCUUGGGCUGAAAACGCGCCUUAGAAUCGCGUUUUCCAUAAUCGCGUUUUCAAUUCUUGCCUAUACUGAAGAAAACGCGCCUUCAAAACGCGACAGAAGUCGCGUUUUCUACAAAGUCGCGUUUUCAGCCUGUUCAGAAACCAAAAACGCGCCUUCAAAUACGCGACUAAAGUCGCGUUUUUAAGUAGUCGCGUUUUCGAUUCUGCAAGAUAUGUGAAGAAACGCGACUUCAUAAAACGCGGCUUGUGGCGCGUUUUGAUGAGUCGCGUUUUCUGAGAAAAAAAAAAUGCAGAUUCCUUGAUUCUCUUUUUCUUCUUUUCCUCAUAUAUUUUCUUGUACCUUGAGUUGCUUAUUGUGUAUUUUAUAUAGGUACAUCACCAACAAAGGCUUGAAUUACGGAUCGCCGUUUUGUUUAUUAAGCCUUUGUUAUCACUUUUGUUUCUCAUUUUCCAUUUUUAGGUUAUAUCACUAAUGGUUACCAAAUGAACUCAUGAAGCGAUGAAGACAGCGAACAACAUACCUUGAAGCUUCAUAUUCAAUCACAACAAUAGGGGAGUAUUAUUUUUUUAUCUUGAUUUUCCUUUUACACAUUGAGGACAAUGUGUAUGUUAAGUGUGGGGGGAGAAUUGAGAUUAUAUACAUUGUAUGUGAUUGAAUUAUUAGUUGCAAAUAUUGGACUUGUGUUAAAAUUCAAAAUUUUUCUAAAAUCUUGUCCAAAAUUGCAAACUUGCCCCAAAAAGUUUCAUAUUUUUUCGAUUUUAUCCAAGGGGUAACAAGUUCAUACCAUUAGUAGUUCAAAUUUCUCUACAUUUGAGAUAAAUAUAUGUGAUUUGGAAACUUCUUUUCUCAUUUAACUUGGAAAUGACUAUUAUGUGAUUAUAAUUUUUGCAUUUGUAGGAAAGUAUAUCUUUUAAAGUGGAGAAAAUUAUACCUAUUUUUUUUUGCAUAUUUGAUGAAAUUUCUUCUCUUUAUUGAUUUUAUAAGUUAAGUGAUAAAUAUGGUCAAUAGUGCAAUACUCUUCUCAUGAUUAUUCUUUUGAGGAAUAUUAUCUUUGUUAAAAAAAAAAAAGAAAAAAAAAAGAAAAAAAAAAAGAUUUAUUCUACUCCAAUGAUUCUUGUACUUAGUAACCGGGAGUCUUCAUCUACAAAUGUCGACUUUCGCGUAAAACGGUACUUGAAUUAAGAGUAUGCAAAGCAACUUGAGUAUGUGAAGUGUUGAGUAACCGGUGAUCUUCAUCUAAAAAUGUCGAUUCUCGCGUCAAAAGCAUUUCACAACUUAAGUAAUAUUUAGCUACGUUAUAUGAAUAAAUAUCUUUUAAGUAGAAUAAAAGAUGAUCAUGAGUUUAGGAAGCAUUAUUAUUGACCAUAUGAGUUACUUGCUUGUAAAUUGGGAAUGAGAAAUUGAAUUAAACUUGUUUAUAUGGUAUAAUUGGCUCUCCUUUACUUGAUAUUAUGAGUACUUGAACUUAAUUGAAUAAUUGCAUAAUGGUUAUUUACUUUGUUUUGAGGAAAUGAAGUUGAAAUGCUACAUAUGUUUAUUUUCAAAUUUUGGAUCAUUGUUGGUUUGUAUUUCUUAUUGCUUGAGGACAAGCAAUGGUUCAAGUGUGGGGGUAUUUGAUAAGAGUUAUUUUACGUAUUUUUAGUGUGUUUUAUUAGUUAAUUUUGGUUUGAUUAUUUAGUUUAAUAACUAAAAUAACUAAGGUUUUGGUAAAAAACUACAUUUUAUGUUAAAAUGGCUAAACAUUGCAUUUUAUGGAUUUUUAUGGUAAAAACUUCAUAUUUUGUAGGUUUAAUGAUUCAAUCAUCAAAUGAAGUGCAUUGAGAAGAUAUUUGGAUGAUUGAAGAUGGAUUAAAGUGGUGAAAAUAAAAUAUGAAGUGUAAAAAGGAAAAAUGCAAUUUGAAUCAAGAAAAGUCAGGUUUUGACAACUCUGACACGUUUUGGUAUUUUGACUAUAUCUGGAGCUACACUGAUCGGAUCAAGGUGAUCUUGGUACCAUUUUGAAGCUAAGAGAUAUAUCUACAUUUGGUAUGAAGACAUCAAAGUCCAUUCAGCCGUUUUCAUAGUCCAAAAGUUGAAAUACCGAAAUUCAACUCAGCUGUCCAAAGUGGAAAACAGAGCUCUGACCAGUUUAGUUUUCGUCAUAUCUCAGGCUACAAAGCUCGAUUGGAUGAUUCUUGAAGCAUUGGAAAGCUAACUCAAAGGGCUACAACUUUGGUGUUUUACAAAAAGCCAGUUCAGCCUUUAUGAUAGAGAAAAUCGCAGUUGAAGUAAGGACAAAGUGAAUACGCGAGUACACAAAACGUGACUUGUAACCGCGUUUUGUGUAGGCGCGUUUUCUGGCCGCAAUUCUGCAAUUUGCUCAGUCAAUUCUCUUGUUCUGACUACUUUCCAGCUACAAUGCAAGAGAAUUCGGUGCACAUGCUUUAGAAGACAAAAGGGCAAGAAAGUUGGCAUAUUUUCAAGUCAAAAACAAUGGCUAUUGACUAUCUUAACAAUUUCAGAUUUGGAAAUCAAAUGCAGCAAAUUUGGACCAAUGGAAAAGGAGCUUUUGAGCAGUUUUAUAUGCAGAGACAGGUGCAAAAGGGGAUACGGGAGAAGCUUGGAAGUGCAAAAAUGUAGUUUUUCCAUUCUCUUAGUAUUAGUUUAGUUAGUAUAGUAAGCUAGUUAGUUCAUCCAUUCUUGUUAUUAUCUAGAUUAGAAGAAAUGGAGAUGAAGAAGGCAAGGAAGAAAGCUCAUGUGACAAGGGUUGUAUUCCUUCCAAAUCUUUAUCUUUUGUAUUUGUUCCAAGUUUAGUUAAUAUACAAUUCUGGAUUUUAUAUUUAAUAUGUUUUAAAGUUUAUACCUUGGGUUUGGUUGAACUUUCUAUGAUUGUUAGUGUUUUAUUUGGCUAUUUGAUUGAUUUGAGCAAGUUAUUUAGCACUUUAGCUCUUUAAAUCAUGAUUAAUCUGGUACCAUUAAUUCUGAUUAUCUAAGGUGUUAUUUCUGCAAUGAAAAUUGAGAUUUAACAUUAGUUCAAGAAGUGCUAAACAUAGGGAGUACACUCACGAAAGUAGAGGUGCACCUAUGUGGUUUUUAGUGAUUCAUUUCAUGUAAUUUCACUGAAGAAAUGAACUUGUAGCUAAUUUCAUAACCAUGAGAAUAGGUAUGGAUUAGUUAUAAGUAUAAUUGAUUCACUACGAAAGUAGGAUUCAAAUGCAUAAGGAAAUUACACCAUAAUUAGCCUAGAUGUAGUAAUUCAAUGAUCCAAAUAUAACACUUGCAUGAGUAGUUAGGGAUACCACAACCUAAGGAGCUUUAUUUGUUAUUUCUUGUAUAAUGCAGUAGGUUAAAUUUCUUAUCAUUCAUUGAUAGUCUAAAUAAUAGAGAAGCUUUAGUAAUACCGGUAAUUGUUCACUCUUCCUUGUGGGAUCGACCCGAUAUAUACCCUAAACUACUAGUUGAUCUGUAUACUUGCAGUGAACGGGUGUAAUUCGGUAUUUUUUAGCUUGCAUGUAUGUAAAAUACCCGUCAAAAAUCCUUAGAGAUCUAUUCUGUUAAUUCAUGAUUUUUUAUUGUUAGAAUGCAUAAUGAUAACUGUUCUAGAUAUCAACUAUUAACUAGCCUUAGUGUUAAUUCUAAUGCUAAUUAUGACUUAGAUUAUCUAUGAUGGGUCAAAAAAAUGUGAGACCUUUUUUUCAUUUCUCUUUUCCUUUAAAGUGGAACUUUUAUAGUUCACACUAACUAUGAUCAUUAUUAGAGCCAAAGUUUAAGUCUGAUUAGUUUUCCAUAUUUAAAAUCCACAUGACAGCAAAUAUAUUAACAAGGGAAUAAAUAUUGAAAUUGCAUUAGUUUGAAAAUAUUUUUUACGAGGAAGAUCAUAAUGGCAAUAAACUCUAUCAAACGGCCUCCAAAUCUUCACAUAGAUUAUAUACCAUACUAGUCUGUAAAUGUGCAUAGUUUCUAUUAGUCAAAUAAUUCAAUCCAUUUCUUUUUUUCAAUCAUUUAAGUUUUUUUUUUGUUCAAUUUCUGCAUAGCUAAAAAUGUGUUGUACUCAGCUCUACUUUUAGGAGAUGAGCAUAAACUUCUGUUAGUCAAAUUAUACAAUCAAUUUCUUUUCUUCAAUCGUUUAUGUUUUUUUUUCGUUUAAUUUUUGCAUAUAGCUAAUACAUGUGUGGUACUUAGCUCUACUUUUAGGAUCAAAAAACUUAUGAAAUAUGUGAAAGUUUCAGCUUUGACCUUUUCAAAAAAGUUUCAGCUUUAAACUACAUUAAAUAACAAAAGUUUUUUAUUCGAUAACUACUACCAGCGAAGAUUUUCAAUAGCAUGAAAGGACCAAACCAACUAAAAUUCUGUAAUUAUAGAGUUAUUUUGGCCCUUAGUUGAAUAUUGUGGCAUAGUUAAUGUUAUGAAAAAUAGAAAAACAGGAUCAUAACUUAAAUUUUGUACUCAACAUAUUGUCCUAUGAGAAGCAAAAUUAUUUUUCCUGCAAACAUCGAUUCUUGAGUGAUGAUAGUACAAACAAAGUCAUUAUCUUGAUUUUAUUGCGUUAAUUUUAGGUAAUGAGAAUACAACAAUGGUGUUAAAUUCUGUAGCUAUACAUUGAAAAUUGAAUGAAAACCGAUACAGUUUAAUGUCACUCACUUUCAUUACUCGAAAGCUACAAGAACAUUAUUGAUGAAAAGAUUUUCUUUUAACAUAAUGAAGUCCUCCCCAUGAUAAUUGAAUAAUAUUAUUUUGGUUGUUAAUAUUAAACAGUUAGUAGUUUUGAAUGCUCCAUUAAAUAAACCAUUAUUUAGGCCUUAUAAAGUUAUUCAGAUGGCUCGAGUUUCCAACAGCCAUUCUGCAGAACUGUAAAAAGGAGAGUUUAUUUAGUGUAACAAUUUAUUAUAGAUAUACAAAAUUACGCUCAUCUCUUUUGUAAAGUACUAGAUUCGAGAGAACAACCAAAGAGCAAAAAAUUUUUGCGUCCACUUGAGUCUGCAUACUUAUCAUAAUACUUGGUUGAUGUUCAAACCAUGCAUAGACAUAAUUACCCAACCCUAUCCUUGCCCAACUAUAAUGUAUUUUUCCUGAAGUAGAAAUUUGCUGCCAUUUCUGCAUAUGGUUAAAAUGUUAAGAAGGAGUUUUGGGGGGAAAUUUUCUCCAUAUUUCACUAUUCUAACGUGACAAUAGUACAAGUCUUUAUAUAUAUAUAUAUAUAUAUAUACUUACAAUAGGGUAAGAUAUAAUGAAUCUAUACAAUCUUUUCGAUAGCAACUAUUUUAAAGAAAUGUCUAAUUGAUAUAGUACAUCAAAAUUAAGAAGAUAUUCAUAAUCAACAAUCAUUCAUUCGAACACUUCCCCUCAAGUUGGUGCAACUUUAUAAGUGAGUUGCAGAAGCUUUUAAUGGGCACAACUUUCAUGAGUAUAUCGGCCAGCUAAUCUUUAGACUUCACAAGGGGAACCGCAUUACUUUAUAUUCAACGUUUUGUUUAGUGAAGUGCCAAUUCACUUCUAUCGCAGCAAAGCCAUGCUAUUGAUUGUCUAUUCAUCAUCCGCCACUUUCCAGCGAUUCCAUCAAUGGACAAAUUUCUUCUUUCCAAGCACCUUUGGAUUUAUACAAGGAUCCUAUAAGUUUGUUGGGCUAUUGGAUCUUUUCUUGCUUCCUUGAUAGAAUGAUGUCUUCUAUUGAGCAACAAUGAAAUUGAUCAAGAAAAAAGUGACUAGUAUAAUCAUCGAAGCACUAACAUAAAGAAUCAAUAAUAUUAUAGACAUGUCAACAUUCUAAAGUCACAAGCUAAAUUUAAAGUUAAGGCUGAUUUUACAUGAUAUUGAAUUCUGUCAGCCUUGAACUUACUUAAUUUAAAGUUUUCUGUAUGCAAUUCAUAAGUUGACCUCUACGUAAUAGGAUAAUUCUUGUAACUUUUAUCGAUCACUUCAUUCAUGAAAUUUGUGAACUUCUCAAUUCAUAACUCAAAUGUGUUUCACUAAGCGUGCGAGACAUCAUUUUGGUUAAUAACUCAAAUGUAUUUCACUAAUGAGCUAUACAUGGUUUGAGAUUGAUAUCCUAAUGGUAUGUAUUUGUUCACAUAAAGAGUAAUGGUUAAGGUAUAAUACUUAACAGUCAUAAAGCAUCAUUCUAUGCGAGAUUGUGUAGGACUGAUUGCUAUGAAAUCACUUUAUAUUCUACUAAUACAAUAGUGAUUAUCUCUCAUUAGGUAUUGAUUUAGCUUUUCUUAUACUACACUGUCUGGAGAUUCACCUCAUACAUAUAAUACGGUGGGGCUGUCAAACAUGGGUCCAUGCCCUUGAUUUCAUAUUUGUUAUUUGUCAAAUGAGUAUUAAGUAUUUAGAUUCGUUUUUCUACUUUUUUUAGUUCAACUAAUUUUCUGGGAUACUUUUUAAGAGUUUUUAUAUGACUUUAUCUUUUCAUGAAUGAGUGACAAUGAUCGAUAACAUAAUAUACAUAUACAUACAUAUAUAUAUAUAUACACGUGUGUGUAUGUAGUAUGUAUCUAGGUAUGUAUAUGUGUGUGUGCAUCCUCACACCAGACACAUGCAUAAAUACAUAAAUACAUACAUGUAUAUGUAAUAUAUAUACACACAUGUAUAACAUGUGUAACACACACAUAUAUAUAUAUAUAUGUAUAUUUGUGUGUGUAGACACACACACAUGUUAAAUUGACGUUCUUUUACAAUAUUUGCAUGAUGGUUAAAACUGUUCAUGGAUAAGAUAAGGAUGUUUAUGCUAGUUUGUCAAUGAUUCUUGAUUUCUUGUUGAAACCAUGGCCGAGUGUUGUGCUAUCAAGUUUAAUCUGAUCGAAAAUAUUUAAAAAAAUAAUGAAAAUAUUGUUUUUAACAAAUGUCAAAUAGCACUCAAAUUGAUCAGAUUCAAAACUCUACUAUUAUUUGUGUUAUAAAUUUAAUUUUCCACGUCCUAUAAAUUUUUAAGCCAUAAAAGGUAGCAAAAUAAAACUAAAUACUACAUGGAGCCAUCCAAGGUGCUCUUUCGCUCAAUGUUCACUGCUCUUGAAACUUCGUACUAGAAAGUAGUUGAAUUAUCAAUAGUUGUUCUUGUCUAGACUACUUAAAUUCUAAUUGAGUAUUUCUUCCAAUUUUUUAAGGAUAUAUAUCUUUUAAAACCUUAAACAUAAAAAUGCCGGAUGUCAUAUGUCCUUGACCACUAAAAAUGUUGAUGUGUCAAAGAUAGGAUUUUACUAUUAUAUUGACUAAUUUUCUUCUCUCUUUCUCUGUCCCUCCCCAACAACCGAAAAGGAAAAGAAAAGAAGUAUUCUCCACAAAGGGUUUUAGCCUUCAGAUCUACAUAGAUACCUCAGUAAGGCUGUACAUAUUUCUCCCACAAUUCCUAGUAAAAAAAAAGUCAUGGCAAAGAAAAAAAAUUCCUGGCCACAUCAAAUUUGGCAACCUACUGCUCAAGCACUAAUUCGGAAGCGUAAAAAAGUGUUGAAAAUCCACCUAUCGAGGAGCUGAACAGGUAUUAGAUAUCAACAAUUUUCAUCAUGCACAAUUUUGUUAUAUACCCUGCUGACUUGAUUAUGUUUUGAUUUUGGUUUAAUCAUUUGAACAUAUUUCUCCUUUAUAGACUUGAGGAAAUUGCACGUUACUACGAUAGAGUCCUGAAGCAAAAGAAGCAACAACCGUUCGGUGAGUAGCACAAUCUUUUCUUUAAAAAUUAAAGCAUUUAAUGUUACAAUGUUUAGUAUUUAUUUUCUUUUUUAUUCCUUUUUUUUGUUAUGAAAAUAUAUCGAAUUCAUUGAUAAAGUGCCUUUGGAGGUAAUGUAAAAUUAAUCUUGCUAUUUUUGAGAAUUUUGAAAUAACUCUUCAUUUUUUUGUUGUAUUGUUAAUUAUGUUGAUUAUAAUUGUGGAACACUUUAUCUUUGCUUGUUGUAGACAAAACAAUAACAGGUCACCUCAGGGUAUAGGGAUUUAGUUGCUAUUGUGGAUCUCAUAUAGUUCAUCUGAAUUGCAUAUUAGAGAUAUCAUAUCAACAUUUUUAGUUUCUAAACUAGAGAAGAAUUCAUUUUUAUUGUUAAUAUCAUUUUUAGGCAGUUUGAAAAUAAAAGCAAGCUGCUGAAAAGGUUCUGGUUUGGUCUACAUGAAUUGCCAUUAAUUGAUUACCUAUGAUUAAAUUUCCUAAAUUCUUAAAUGCAUAGUUAAGCACAUAAUUAUGUGCUAAAGGUAGGUAAUGAUUGAUUCUCUUUUUGCUUACAAGGUUGCAUUUAAUUAAAUCUCGACGGUUAAAGUUUUCCAAGUGCAAUUAUGUGUCUAUAGAUGGUAAAGCAUCUAAAAAAAUAUUUAUUUUUAAUGACAUUAUUGUUCAAUCCUUAUCUAUAGAUGCGCACAGAUUGACUAUAGGUAGGCAAAUAAAUGUGCAACUAUAAGAAUUAACCAUUUCACACAAAAAUUCAUUUAUAUACAUAUUUACCCUAUCAAUUUUAAUGCAAUGACUUCAUACCCUAGUGUCAAAAAUUUUUCAUUUCGAUCGACCAAAUAAGAAAAAUCUUAUGUUUCAUUUUCUAAACACCGUUAAGGUUCAAAUUUCUUCUUUCCUUUCCUUAAAUUAUGUACAUAUUUUUUUAGCCGAAAGGAAAAAAUCAAUUUCUAACUAAUGCAACGAACUUUGUCAAGACUUGGUGAUGAGGAUAUCCAAGCUGGUCAUGGUUCGAGUGAUGAUCAAGUUAAUGUGCCAGUUGUCCAGUAACGCGAGCUCGUGCUAAGAAGUUCAAGGAAUCACUUCAUGCUCAAUUUCGACCUCUUAAAGAGCAAGGGGCCACAAAACGAACAAAAAAUGUAGAGGUACCCGAGGAUGUCCAGCCAAGUCCGGCGUGAAGACAAAUCCGAGCUUCAUGAACCCUAGACAUCUAGAAGAUAUCUAGCACCGGACUUCAUCGUAUUUUAGCUAAGGUUUUCUGUUUUGUUCCCGUUCAUUUUCCUUUUGGUUUGUGAUUGGCUACUAUCUCCUCCAUUUCUAUCCCGCUGUGCCAAAUGAUGAACUUGCCAAACCUAAUCAGCCAGAAAAAAACAAACAAAAUUAUUCAAUUAUCUGAAAUUAAUUACUCUCUUAAAGUUUUUACUGUUCUUGUACCAAUCAUUGAUAAUACAUCAUAAUACCUAAUUUAAUGUUAUUCAAUCAAUGCAGCUAUAAAACAAUACAUUCAAUUAAGAAAACAAAUUAAAGCUCAAAUUUGGACAAUAUUCAACGUAUAAACACUUCUUUACACAAGAAAAGAAGAUGGAAACUACGACGUUUCUUGAGCUCCAAAUUUGCCGAUGCCAGUCCACAAUUGGAUGAUGGAUCAACACAAAAUUUUAUAGAGAAGCGCUUUUCUCAUAUUCUAAACUUUCUUAUAAGAGUGUUUGGUGUCCUUUUGAAAUUUUAAUCUUUGAACCGAAGAAAGAGGGAAAAAGAGAAAAAAAAUGGGCCUAGUAUUGAGUUUAGAGUUUAUUCGUAUGUGUUUGAACUUAGUGGGGUUUUUAUUUUUUUAUUUUUUGGUAGAAAAAUUAUUCAGAGCUUGGUAUGUUUCUGGACUUAAUCAAAGUUAUUAAUGAAGAUGUCAAAACUCAAGCUUACUUAUUAUUUUUCUGUUAUAUAUAAAUUGUGUUUGCCCCGCUGUUUUUAAUAUUCAAGCCAAGAUCAAACAAAUUGUAUGAAGUCAAAUUCACGUUGACUUGGAGUACGUUUUUUUUUUUAAGCAAACCCCAGAAGUAGAUUCAUUUAUUUACAUAUUAACCACUAAAUCAAUGUUAAAUUUAAAUUGAUUGCAACAUCAAGAUCAUUAUUUUUCAUCGUAUUUAUGUUUUAAUAGUUCAGUAAUUUUAUUUUUGAGAGUCUUGGUGUGUAACUCUAUCAUUUCGGGUAAAAUUUCACUUUGCACCCUCCAACUAAUUUGAAAUUCUAUUUUGGUCAACAACAUUUAAAAUGUGGCAUUUUAGUCCUUAAAGUAUGAUCAUUUGUCUCACUUUAAUCCCUAAAAUAAAAAUAUUCUUAUUUUAGUCCCCAAAAUAAAAUAUUUUGUCCCUAACAUAUAAAUCCUGUCUCAUUUUGGAGUAUAAAAUUCGAUGUCUCUACUUAAAAUGGACAAGUAUUAUAGUUUAGGAAUUAUGGUGUCCCAUUUUUAAAAUUUAGGAACUAAAGUGAAAAUUUAGACAUAUUUCGGGGGUGCAAAGUGAAAUCUUUCCCAUUCAUUUGAUGAGUUCAUAAACCCAAUAGCGUAUCGUUCAGUCAAGCGUGCCUAUAACCACCAUUACUACCAUAACCCUACUGCCACCAUCAUCAUUAACAACACACGCAGCAAAGUAUCACUAUGACCCCAUCACAACCAACAAAACACUGUCAGCACUAGUACCAUCAUCUCCACCACAACCAUCAAGAAAUCACCAUCAGCACUGCAUCGAUUGAUGAUGGAAGAGAUGAGAAGUAGGCCCAUAAAAGGAAGCUGAUUCGGAUUAGGUCGCCGAAGUAGGAAGGAGGAGACGAGAGAGGAAGUAAGAAAAGAGUAAACAAAACGAUGGAAGAAGAGAGAGGAUGGGAAGAGGUGGAUAUUUUUCAUGGCGUUUAGAUUUGGGAGAAGAGAGGAGGUCUUGUUUCAGGUUAUGUACGUUUUAAAGAAAAUGCUUUAAAACACUUCCUUUUGGUUCAUAAGAUAACGUAGGAUUGAAUUAAUGAUACUAUGUGAUCCAUGCUUGUUGCCAUUUAUACAUGGGAUGAUACAUUUUAACUAGCCGAAUUAAUUCCCUAUUUAUAGGAUAAAUAAUCUCAUGGUGAGGUGAUAUUAGUCAUAAUAAAAUUUUAGACUAACAGAUAGAAUGAUAAAAUUUUAAAUUAAUUUAUCCUUAAAAAUAAGGAUUAAUCUGGCUAUACACUGACAAUGUAUACACUUUCAUUAUUAGAUGCAUGACAUGUAAUCUAAAUUUAAAUUUCAAACUCAAAUUUUGCAUGUGUGUUGUGCAUCCAAUAUGAUAGUGUAUAUAAGAAUAACUCUAUAAAUAAUAUAAAAUUUAUACUUUCAUAAUUAUACAACCCGACUCCCACAUGAUAAUACAACAAAAUGGACUAAUUUGUCCUACUAAUUAAUUUUAAUAUUUUUUUACUAAUUGCCCCCAUUGCCAAUAUAACAAUAUUUUAGACUAAUUUGCCCUUGUGAAUGAUACACAUUCAUUACAUAACCAUACUCUCAUAUAAUAAUAUGAUAAUAAAACUAACUAGCCCCUACUAAUUAUAUUCAAAAUUUUGACUAAUUUGCCCCUAUUCAUUAUUUAAAUUUUUAACUAAUAUACGCCCUAUUAAUUAAUUUAAAUUUUUGACUAAUUUGCCCAUACUUAACAUCAUAAUAAAAGGACUAUAUUGCCCUUGGACUAAAUUGCCCUUACUAAGCUCAUUUUCUCAACUAAAUUCUAUAUAAAUACACAAUCCUAUCAAUUGGACUUUGUUAAUGAAGACUUCAAUAAGUUCAACCCUGGCCCAAAGAAAAAUCUUCUAUAUUGGUUUGAUCUCGGCCAUUUAAAGCUCUUAAAUCGGUUAGAUUUUAAUCAAUUUAACCUUAAGUUAGCCAAAAUUUGGGCUAUCAUUUAAUUGGAUUUCAAAUUUUAGUCAAAAUCUAUUUUUAUGACCCCGCAUGGGCUGAGUUUGAGUGAAUGAAAAUUUUUAUAUAUCGAAACCCUUGAUUACUUUAUAAUUCUAAAGUUUUAAACUACUCUAUUUUAAUAAAGUUAUAUAUAUAUAUAUAUAUAUAUACUAAUUUAUUAUUAAAUUAUUUUAUUAAUAUUUUAAUAAAAUAUUAAAUUAUUUUAUUAAAAAGAAUUUGCAAUUUAAGGGGUAUUUUGGUCAUUAAAAUAGUAAUCCUAUUUCAUCCAAUUCCAACCAAGCACAAGAUAGGAUUAUUCUGAACAUAUCCUAUCCAAACCCAAAACCAACCAAACACUAGAUAAUUUGAAUUAUUAAUCGAGGAUGAUUCAACCCAAAAUUAAUAAUCUGAGAUAAGUCAUCCCAUUUCAUCUAGUUGUGAACCAAACGGACCCUAAAAAUACUUCUAGGGUAUUUGGUAAUUAAUUUUUCAUAAUUUAAAGAGCCCAACUUUGAUAAUUUGAAAGCACUUUUGUUAAAAUUUAAAAGUACUUGUAUAAGAAGUAUUUCUUUAGAAGUCACCGCAACCCCAAACAACCUAAGUAUUUGAGCACAAUAGCAACAAUAUAUUAGGGUUGAAAUGGAAUUUAGGAGAGAGUUGUGCUCAAUUCAUUCUCAGCAUUUGCUCAGUGUAUAUUUACUCCUUUCGUUAAAGUGGUAAUAAUCUUCGGUGACAUUGGCAUUAUCAUCAAAUAGCAACAUCCAAAUUAACAAGAAAAGUUUGUUAUUUGUUGCGAAAUUUAUGCUGAAUGCUCUACCAAAUGUUUAGCACUUAACUUCUUUGAAUAUACUAUCCAACAUUAUAUCAAAAAAUGAAUAGAUAAAAAAUCUUUUUUUAUUUUUUUUAAAAAGAGAGAGAUAGGAUUUAAGAAACGAAGAGAAGAAGGAAAGAGAUUAGAACCCAAGAGUCUCAUCUCAAUCUUGGAGGCUCAACCAUCAAGAAACAGAAUAGUUCACAUCCACCCAGGAUCACUUCGGCCUAUGUGAUGGAAUUAACAUAAAUAAAUAAAUAAUUCAUUGAGUGCAUUUCCACUUGGUGUGGGAAAUUGGCCGUGCCAAACAUUUUAUACUCUUUUUUUCGAAUGAGAUUUUAUACUUUCUAUCAACACUUUUGUUAAAAAAUUUAAUUUAACAUGAAAUUUUCUUACUGCCUAUUACGACAAUAACAUAUCACCAUUCUCACUCACUGGCAAGUACAUGAAAACCUAAAGUUUAAUUGCAUAACUUUUUAAAGCAAAGAAAACAAAAUAGCGUUAAUAAAAAGAAAACAUCAUCAAUUCAACAUGGUCUAAAUAUGCAUGUAACAGUCAUCAAAUUUCCAGUUUAGUUCAAAGUAAUUUUAAGUCUACGAAUUUGUACAUAUGCAAUAACUCUAAAGAUCUGAACAUUGAGAAAUUCUUCAACCACAAAGAAAAAAAAACUAUUUUUGAAUAAUAAAAUGUAUGCUACUGAUUGAAUUUAAUUGAUUCUAUGUCAUCUGAAAACAUUUUAUAGUUUUAGCGCUUCGGUUUUGAAUACAGUUAUUAUAUUGAUAAUUAUCAUUUUCAAAUAUUUGCGUGUGUGUUUUAGUGCAUUUUUAGUGAUUUUGGAGUAUUUAAGUAGGAUAAAUAGGCUUUUUACCAACUUUUCUAGUUAAGUGUGAUUUAAGAAGAUGGUCAAUCUAUUGAUGAAUUUCAUGUUAAUCUAUACAAAAAAAAUUAAGAACUGCGACUUUUUAUUUGGAGGCAAUGUGGAUAGAGAGUGAAAAUGAGUUUUGAAUCGAUGAACUAAGUGCUCCGAUUAGUUUUAAUUUUUUAGUUUAAAAUUUUUCUUUCUUCUUAGUAGUUUAUUAAUUAGGACAUGACCUAUUAGCUUUUAAUUUUGUUGUAUAAAGAGAAUUACUAUUUUCGUUUUUUAUUUUGAAAUUUAAUUUAAUGGAUACAUGACUAGAUGUCACUAAAGUUUGUCUAAUUAGGAAAAAUUCUUAAAAUGUACUGCUUUAAAUUGGAUGCAUUAGAGACCAAAUUUGCUCUCACCAAAACUUUAGGGACUAAAAUUGCACAUAUACUAAACAUUGAUACCAGAUUUGCUUUUUUUAAAAAAUUGAAGGACUAAAACUACAAAAGGGUGAACAUUGAGGACAAAAACUGUAUUUUUUUCCAAAAAAUUAAGACUAAUUAGCAUGCAACGGAGAAUUAUAUGAAUGCACCGGAACGAGACGAGAGUAUGAAAGUGAACCAGUGACCCCUAUCGUUUGAUUAUUUUAUCUGAUUCUAAAUUUUAAUUUUAAAUAAUCAAUACUUUUGACUUUUUGAGUCUAUUUGGAAUAGAAAUUAUUUAAAAUUUUAUAUAAUAUAAUAAUAUUUUUAAUGUGAUUUAUAUAAAAUAAAAAAAAUAAUUUUUUACAAAAUAAAUAAAAAAAAGCUUCAAAUAAUAUUUUUUGCAAUAUGGCCUUCCUUUAUCAAUUUAUUACAAACGAUCACAUCCCCAAAAAUUUCCAAAAUUCCAAACCAAAAAUUAGAACUGGCUUUCAAAUUUGAAUCGGAAUUAACUGGGUUUAUAAACUAAAAUACGUGGGACCCACCUCCCCUUAAACCCUACACCGACCUCUUCCAAAGUCCUUCCUGAAUGCGGACCGCCGGCACCGACCUUCGAAAACCUAAGAUUUUUUUCUAUUUUUUUUUAAAGAAUUUAAAAAUUAAAAAUCUUGAUUCUGAAUCUAUCUCCGUCCCCAAAUUUCCCCGAUUCCAAGCUAGCAAAGGAUUCGAUUUCAGUUUUGUAGUUGGAUUCCAAUCUAGGAAAGGAUUCGGUUUUAUUUACUAUCUACAAAUAUAAUUACAUACAGCCAUUAUAGUUUGAAAUCUGCAGGUUCUUUUCUUUCUUUUUUUUAAGAAUUUUUGAGUGAUUCGAUACAAUAUGAAUUUUCCUGUCAAGGUUCGGCCUGGAAUGAAGAGGGAAUAUGCUUUCCUGAUGAGGGAAAAAAAGCUUUCCCCUGUUGAUGAUGACAUAGGAGGGGAGAACGGGAACAGGAGAGUUACCAGGUCUCAGAAAGGUGGCGGUAAGAACUUUCAUGGCUGGAUUAAAUUCGAGGAUUCUGAAGAAAAAGAGGAUACAAAGAGUGAUGUGAUAGAUGCUAGUAUUGAUGAGGAUGAUGAGGUAACGAUAAUAUCACGGAAACCGAAGGAUAAGAGGAGAGCGAAAAGUGUGAAGGUGGAUUUCUUGGAUUAUGAUGUUAAUGUUAAUGUUAAUUGCCAUAAUGGGGUUUCUUUUGAUCGAAAUUCGGCAAGUUUGAAGGAUCUUCUUGAGACGGGUUUGCUAGAGGGCUUACCUGUGCAUUAUGUUUGUGGAUCAAAGGGUGAAAAUAAGGCAGGGGAAGCAGGGCUCCGAGGAGAAUUCGAGGGUGUGGGAUAAUUUGUUUCUGUGAUGCAUGUAAAGGGAGUCGAGUUUUGUCGCCUGAUCGGUUUGAGUUGCACGCAAGAAGUGGAAAGAAUUGUGCUGCUGAUAAUAUUUAUUUGCAGAACGGGAAAUCCCUUCGCGAUAUCUUGAAUGCUUGCAAGGAGGUUGCUUCUUCUGAUGACUCAUUAGCAGUUCGAGUCCAGAAAGCUAUUGCUUUUUCACAAGCAAAAGCUAAUAAUUUGUGUGAUUCUUUGAGGGAGUCUGAAGAUCAGACUACUCAGUCAACUGAUCACGUUGGUUCUAGGCCCUCAUUACCUGCCUCCAGCAAGAACUCGUCCGGUAAAUGUCCUAGGAAAAAGGUUGAAGGAAAGCUGACCAAGAAAGAUCUUAGAUUGCACAAAGUGGUUUUUGAGUCGAAUUUGCUUGCUGAUGGAACUCCAUUAGGCUAUUAUUCGAAGGGCAAGAAAGUGCUUUCGGGCUAUAAAUCUGGUUCUGGGAUCUUCUGCUACUGUUGUAGUAAAGUAGUUAGUCCCUCAACGUUUGAGGCUCAUGCUGGUUAUGCUGCUCGACGCAAGCCUUACCACGAGAUAUAUACAUCAGAUGGAGUAUCCCUUCACGAGUGGGCUUUAGCAAUAAAAAGAAAUUUGCAUUCGUAUGUAAAUCAAAGUGAUGAUAUCUGUUCAGUUUGUGAAGGUGUGGGGGAGCUCUUGUGUUGUGAUUUGUGCCCCAGAGCUUUUCACCACGGGUGUGUUGAUCUUCCAAGAUUCCUGAGGGCACUUGGUAUUGUAGAUGUUGUGUGAAUAUGCUUAAAAAUGAGAACUUUGUGGAGCACAAUGCAAAUGCUGUAGCUGCUGGAAGGGUUGCUGGAAUUGAUCCUGUGGAGAAGUAAGAAAACGAUGUGUUCGCAUAAUUGGGCUUCAGAAACUGAUGUUGGUGGAUGUGUCAUUUGCAGGGUUCAUGACUACAAUGAAUCUGAUUUUGGACCUCGUACAGUUAUUAUUUGUGAUCAGUGUGAAAAGGAGUAUCAUGUUGGGUGUUUGAAAGACCACGGGAUGGAUGACUUACAAGAAUUGCCAAGUGGGAACUGGUUCUGCAGCAGAGUAUGCAGCAGCAUUUACUCUGCCCUUCAGGCAACUUGUAAGCAGCGGGGAACAAAAGCUUCCAGAUUCUCUGCUAAGCACAAUAAAAAAGAAGCAUGAGGAUGAUGCUGAUCUGAAUGUCUCAUGGAGACUUCUCCAUGGGAAUAUGGCUUCCGAAGAAAGUAAGAAAUGGUUGUCUGAUGCUGUUUCUGUUUUCCAUGAGCGUUUUGACCCCAUUGGCGAUCCAAGCAAAAGCAACACUGAUCUUAUACCUUCGUUGAUCUAUGGAAAAUCCAAUAGAGAUCAAGAUUAUGGAGGAAUGUUUUGCGCCGUCUUGACAGUAAACUCAAUAGUGGUGUCUGCUGGAAUUUUCCGAAUAUUUGGACAGGAUGUGGCUGAAAUCCCACUGGUUGCUACGACUAGUAGUUGUCAAGGCAAAGGAUAUUUCCAGUCAUUGUUCUGUUGCAUUGAAAACCUCCUGGCAUCUGUCAAUGUGACAGACCUGGUGCUUCCGGCUGCACAUGAAGCAGAAUCAAUGUGGAAGAAUAAGUUUGGAUUCCGAAAGAUAAGCCCUGAACGAUUGAAGCAAUACAGAAGAGAUCAUCAACUGAUGACAUUUUUGGGGACAUCUGUUCUACACAGGAGAGUAUCCAAGCUUGAAUUGUGACCAGAUAAAAGGUUAUCUAUACUGCUGUAGAUACAUUACCAGAUAGGAAGGCAUUUUAUUGUUGAGCUCACUGGAUGAUGGUGUAAAAUGUUGGAGCUUCACUUCAGUCAACUAGUGAGACUUGAGAGUACAUGCACUGCACUUUUUUGUGAUGCUCAGAUAAUCACUCUCUUGAGAUCAAUUAAAAGAAUUAAAAGAAGAUUUAAUUGAUUAAAAGCGUUGUAUUGAUAUCAAUCUUCUUAUUCAAUAAAUUAUAAAGAAGAAUUUUGUAGGUGUUUUAACAAAACAUUACUUGUACUUUCCUGUGAGAAUCUUAGGAAAAAAAACAAUAGACAAGUAAUUUGGAAAAUAAAAGAAAGAGAAUUUAUUGUAGAAGGUUAAAAGCUUUAAAAACUCUUUAUCACCAUGUCAAUUAAUAAGCUUGUUUAGUCUCUUAUUAGUUAACAAAAGAAUUUAAUAGUACAUUUAAUAACUUAAUGAUAUUUAAUUACCAAUAGUCUAAUCUAAAUAGUUUGCUCACGUCUGACAACAUUCUAAGUGUGGACCUGGAACACAAAUUAGAGACUAUGCUCCCUUCUAUCCUCUGAUUAAUUCAAUAAUAAAGUUCAAAGAAAUUUAGAUACAUAUAUACAAUAUAAAGAGCUAUAUAGGUUUCUUUAUCUUCUAUGGCUCAUGUUGCAAAGCUAUCCUCCCUAUCCCCUAGGGGAAAUUCGCAACGGAUCUUCCGUGCCAAUCUGUAUUCCAUUUUUUAUUAUAUUAUUAUUUUUCAUUCAUAAAUAUUAUAUUUUAGUUCUUUUUUAUUUCCUUAAAAUCCAAUAACUAUUAAUCGAGUAAAAAAUAAAUACAAUAAUCAUUAAAAAAAAGUUGAUUGUCUAAGUUUGUUAAAUUUUGUGCAUUACUUAGUUAAUAGUUAUUAGAUCUUAAGGAAACAAAAAAGAAUUAAAAUUUGAUAUUUAUGAAGGAGAAAUAGCAAUAUAAUAAAAAGUGGCAUAAAGAGUGAAACAAAAGAUUCACUGCGGGUGAAAUUACUCUACGUUUUAUGUAUAUAUGUCUGAAUAUAGAUCUUCUUGUUGUUUACAAAUCUCAAAGUAUGCUAUGAGAUAAUAGUAUCCUAGUUUUUGUUAGUAAUCCUCCUCUAAUUCCUAUGAAGAACGGAAACAUAUUUCCAAUCAAUUAUACACAAAAUAAGUAUAUAUUUCGUUUAUUUCCAAUCAAUUCUACACCGAAAGAAUUCCUAUAUAAGUAUAUAUUUCGUUUAUUUCGUUGUAAUCAUUUUCAUAUAUUGCACCACCUAACCAAAUCAUUGCAUAUAAUUGGUCAAAAAAAAAAGAGUAAUAGACAUUUUUCACUCGUAUAUCCGCAUAUGAAAUGUUCACGUUCACUUAUAAAGCUGGACGUAUGAACACAAAUAAAAAUGCGUACAAUUAAUUCUUUUUAUUCGCAGACAUGAUAUACUACAAAUAUCCAAACCUGUAUAUCUAUUCCUUAGAUAAAUUAUUACAUGCCUAUAAUCCUUACUCUUAUUGUAUACCAAGCACGACCAAAUUGAUGUAGGUUUUACUAAUUGUAGAAUAAUAAAGUCUUUUUACAUAUUCUAACCUACCAAAACUAAUAUUUGAUUCUAUUCCUGUCCUGAAUGUAUUUUGUUCUCUUUUCUUUUUCUGAAUAUAAUCCUUAUAAUAUGUUGAGAGGAUGUAAGAUACUCUAUGUUAUUGUGUAGUGUCGUUCAUAGUAAAGCAAAAACUCAUGAUUGCCUUUUUUAAAAACAUAAAAAUAUAAUAAAUCCACAAUUACAGGGAAAAAAGAAAGAAAUUUUGAACAUAAUUUUGACCUGUCAGAUUUGUGGAUUGUGUUUCUUUCUUUAUUUUGAAGGUAUCAAGAUAUUGACAAAAACGGAUUUUUAACAUUAUAAACAUACAGUUAAAGAUUUAACUUAUGCAACUUUUAUAUCAUUGAAAUAGUAAUAUAUGAGAUUUCGACCUAGCUAUAUGGGAUGUCCAAUCACCAUUAUAAUAUAGCAAACUAUCAUCGGUUGGUUCAAUUGAUAACAUCUGAGAGAACGGAUUACUUCUUCACAAAAAGAUUGUAUAUUUGAAUCUCAUUACAAAUGUGAAAAUUGUGUUAGUGAGAAAUCUGUAGAAACUUUUAUAAGUGACUUGUGAUCCCAAGACACACGUACCCUGCUUCAUGGUGGUGGCCACAAACGAACCCGCCCAACCAUUUUUUUACCGGUUAAAAAAAAUGAUCACAGGGCACUCAAAUAACUCAUUGAAAGAAAAAACCAUGAUCAUAGGGCACUCAAAUAAUACAUACAUACAUACCUAUAUUUUUAACUUUCAUUAACUCAGCAAAGAAAAUUGAAGCAAUUUAGCAACAGGUGUAACUUGAAACAAGAAAAGUGGUAGCUUUUCUGGUAAGGAUUACAGUAAGUUGCCAUAGGUAAAUUUUGUGUGAGUUGUGCAUGUCUCACAUUGGCAAGUUCUAUUUAUGAAUGGGUGGCUUGUAGCUGUCAUCAAAUAGAAGAAUUGAAUAGUGCGCUUGAGGAUGGUCUUGUACCACCAAAGAAAUUUGGGUGCAAAAUAGCCUGACAGCCAUUAGGCAGCACUUGGGGGCAUAUUUAGCGGUUGGUUUUAGCAGUUUAUGAGGCAAUAUGUGAGAUUAAAUGUUUUGGGGAUUAUAGACAUAAUACCUCAACUAGGAUAUGGGUAUAUGAGGCACAGAUAUGCGACCUGAACCACUGGAAACUAGCAAGAAGUUGGCUGGUCCACAGCCUGAGAGUUUUGCAGGCAGCCCUUUAGGGAAAUGUUUGGAUGGUUGGUUUCGGCAGUUUGAGAGGCAUUUGAAUGGAAUCAUGUUCUCUAGGAUGAUAAGAAACACAUAUCUUUGACAAGGAAGGAUUGAUGGGACUUGGCAAUUUUUGGAGCCACUGGAAACUAGCCAGAAAGUCUGCUGGCUACUGACCUAACAGAGCAGGCAGGUCUUCGGGGCAGCUUUGCAGGUUUCGUCUGAGCAAUUUAAGAGACCUUCUAGUGGGAUUAUAAGGUACAAUUCUUUAACUAGAAAUGGGCUUUAGAGGGUUUGGUGGUGAUCUGAAUUAUCAUUUUUAUGCGGAAUUCAAAGCUGAAAAGUUUUAUUAAGUUGAAAAUAGAUCCGCAGCAAUUGUGGAAGAAAGUAAACAAAAAACAGUCACUAUUCACAUAAGAAUAAACACAUUUUAUUAACUAUCAAAUAUAUAAACUAAUAGCUAAAUGUAUUAUAUACAUUAAGAUUCCAGAUGCAGACUUAGGCUCCGUUUCAUAACACUGAAUCUGAAUUCUGAAUUCUGAAUACUGAAAUAAUUAAUUUGCUAAAUUUUAAGCACUGAAAAGAGAUAUAUGAAUGUUUAAAUCUUAAUGCUGAAUCUAUUUAUACUGUUUGAUAAAUAUUCAUAACUUAAUGCUUAAUAAGCUAAAUUGUACAAUUUUGCCCUUCUAUCUUUUAAUCCAAAACGAAAUAGAACCUAUGAUUUAAUUAACUUAAAAUUAUUAGGUAUGAAAAUGACAAUGAUUGUGAAGAGCAAUGCAUACAAUGACAAUGUUUCUUUGUGUGGGAAAAGGUAUAGUUUCAUCAUUUUGAGAAUGGGAAAACAAGCUUUUAAUACUCCAAAAGCACGUUCAAUUACAUUUCUCAAUCUUGCAUGUGCUUGGUUAAAGCGUUCUCCUUUUGAUCUUGGACGAGAAGCAUUUCGAAAAUCAGACAACCAAUAUCUAAUAUUUCGAUAUGGUGUCAUAAAACCACGUGUGUGUGGAUAAGCUGCAUCACAUAAAUAAUAUUUAUCUGCACAAAAAAUAUAUAUAUCAAAAUAUAAAUGUUUGUGGAUGAAAAUUACUGCAAAAAAAUACUAUUGUUAAAAAAAAAUUUUGAAUAGAGAAUAUCAGGUUGUUUUGUUUAAUUAGAUAAGAAUUUUAAAUGUAAUUAACAAACAGGGAUAUAUUUGGUAGAUAAGAUAAAGUAGUUGAAGUAAAUCUCUUGAUUCUUAUUAAAUUAAGCAUUCAGCUACGAUUCUUGUGCUGAAAAAAAUACAUACAAAUUCAGCACCACUUAAUAAGUUCAGCAGGUGAAUUUUUAUUUAUCAAAUACCCACAACAUCUGAAUGUAUGAAUGAAUUCAAUUUCAGCACUUUUUUAUGUUAUCAAACAGGCACUUAGUCUAGGAAUAUAUAACAAAUUCUCAUUCCAAAGCACAAAACUAGAAUUAGAAUGAUUAUUAAAAACUACAUUUUAUUACAUAAUAUAGAAAUUGUCCACCACAUUUUUUUUUUUUAUUUUAGAUAACGUCCCACCAGCAUUCAGCCAAAACUUUCGUCGUCCUCUCACGUGCCCGGCAUGUGGAUUGGAAACAUUCAGUCCUUCGCGCCUUGCGCGUUAGCUUCCCACCUGGCCUCGCUGCCAGUAUCCCAUGUGCUUCUGCUGCCCCGCUGCUUCUCUUUGCAGCUCCUCUUUCUCUUUCUUCUGUCAGCCAGUAUCCAUGUGCUUCUGCUGCCCUCGCUGCCAGUAUUCCUCGCUGCCCCGCUGCUUCUCUUUGCAGCUCCCCUCUCACGUGCCCGGCAUGUGGAUUGGAAGCAUUCAGUCCUUCGCGCCUUGCGCGUUAGCUUCCCACCUGGCCUCGCUGCCAGUAUCCCAUGUGCUUCUGCUGCCCCGCUGCUCUCUCUUUGCAGCUCCUCUUUCUCUUUCUUCUGUCAGCCAGUAUCCCAUGUGCUUCUGCUGCCCUCGCUGCCAGUAUUCCUCGCUGCCCGCUGCUUCUCUUUGCAGCUCCUCUCUCUCUUUCUUCUGUCAUUCUUUUGCUUCCUCUUUUCUCUUUCUCUUCUUUUUUUUCCCCCCCCAACAACAAUGAUGCUUUGUCGCUUAUCGGCGUGCCUCUCCAGACUGGUACAAAUGCCAAUUCCAAUGUCUUUUUACCGCCCAAGGAGCUGCCGCAUUUGCUGUUGGCUGCAUCGGUCCAUAUCUUUCCUUCUCCUUCAUCGUGAACUUUCUCCUUCUUCCCUUCCAGUGAACUCCGAUCUCUUCUGUAAGCUUCCUGUUUUCCUCCCUCCCCCUCUGGAGUUCGUAUUUUUUUCGCCCCUUGUCCGGUGACGUGCAACUUUUUUGUUGUUUCUCAUUCAUGAAUUCUUAUCUUACUGACAAAGAGGUGCCGUCUUCGCUGUUGGUUGCUGGUUUAGGAUCUUGUGCCGUUCGCCUUUUUCUCUCCCUCUUCUUUCGCUGUAAGCCUUCUUCUCCUUCCUGUCCAGUGGAAUUGCGUCUUUGCUGCGAGCUUCUUCUGUACCCUUUUUUUCUUUGCCUGGAGUUCAAUUGUGCAGUGCUUUGUCCGGUGAGGUCCAUUAUUGUUUUUAGUGAACUGUUCACUUAGCUUACUCUCUCUUGUAUUCUUGCGCUGUGUUGGGUUCUCUGUGCUUGCUGGCUCAAGACGGCUAGCAAAGGCCUUUUCUAUGUCUUGCUGGCUCAUAUGCUAUUUGUUCCUUGUUUUUUCUUAUCUAAUUUCUUAUCUAAAAAGGUCCUUGUCGCGUCAUAAAAAAAAAACCUCUCUGUCUAUCUUUUUUGUUCAUGUCCGCUAUUUUGGGCCCUACAAGUUGCUUGUGUUUUUUACUUUUGUUAGUUACCAGAUUCUCAAUCCUCAAAUCAAAUCUUAUGAAAUAUUUCAAAUAAUUCCGGACCGCAAUUUUUAAAAUUUUUUUUUUUAAUAUAAAACAAAAAAAAUGUCCCAAAAAAAAUUAGUGUGCUGCAAACUUUUUUUUCUCCCACCUGCAAUUCUCUCCAUUCGCGAAGAAAAUUUGGAAAGCCAAAAACAUAAAUAGCAAAUGUAUGAUUACAGGUUUUACAGAAGCUGCCAUGCACACUUGCAAAUAGAUUACGUAAUGGAACAAGCAUUUGAGUUCAGUGGAAGACCUGGGAAUGUUCGUAGUCAAAAAAAUAUUUGCUUUUCCUUAACCUGUAAAAGUUAGCCAGUUUCUUGCAUACAUACAGGCUUGAGAAUAUUGAUGGAAGGAAUGAUUUAAGGUCCUUCGGUCCACUUUCUUUCUUUAAGAACAAUGCUAAUAAAUUAGGAAAUCAGUCAGGUCUCAUUAGUUAUAUAGUCACAAAUGAGGAAAUUUAUUUGAGGUGAAUCUCUGCAAUAAAUCAAAUAAGGUCAGAGUUUAACAAACUCAAUUUGUUCAUCAUCAACUCAGUUUACACAAUUGAAACACAAUUAUUAGUGCCGAUAUGCUGUAAGGAAAGAGAACCCCAAAAAAAAAAAGAUAAAUAAAGAGAGGUAAUCAAACUACUUGGUCAUGUGACAUCUCAGCCCCCUUCUUCAUCAAAUAACAAAUUUCUUUCAUUUAAUAACGUGGCAGUCUUUCCUGAUUUUUUUUGCAGUUCCAGUCAACACUCUUAGAAGAAAUUUCUUUGAAAUUGCACCCGAUUCACAGUGGCAUCCGAAUCGUCAUUUGUUAGAGGUGUUGCAUCUGAUUGAAAUAGGCCCUUCUUCUGUUUUUGUGCUGUGUUGCUCUUUUGCUGUUCUUCCAUAAAGGCGGCUUUCUUUUCCUCUGUUUGUUUUAGCCUCUGGUUGUAAGCUUAACUACUUGUUCACGUCUCUUUUUUUAUUCUACCCAAUUUGCAUGCUUUCUGUUGCAUUAUCAGCUCCUGGAUCCUGUUUCCCAUUUGGGCUAUGCUUUCUUUUGCAUUCUUUUGAUAUAUUCCCGUUCUUCUAGCCCCUGAUGAAUUUAGGCUUACCUCAACUUGCCUUUGUUUCCGUUUUCGGUUCUUUAGAUGACCAUCGAGCCUUUGCGCGUCUCUGAGGUCCAUAGCUCCCUGUCACGUUGGACUUCUGUCAUCCAGGUUAUUGAGGCUUCUCAUCUAAAAACAACCUAUGCAUCUCAUGCAUCCAGGAUGUAUCGCCGCUUUGUCUUUGCUGAUUCCCAUGUAUGUUUUCUUUUGACUCUUUGAUUGUUUUGUUAUUUCUCCCCGCUCCGCUGUGGUUGAUUUUUCCCCCACUGUUUUUUGUCUUGUGAUGGAUAGGGUGUAAAGGUUUCUGCUGUCGCCUUUGAUGACAAUGUUGCUCGCAUUGAUGGUUUGUUGUUUCCUUUCAAAAAAUACUUCAUUAGUGACGCUACUGUUGAGCAGAUUCCCAGGUCUACUCCGUCCGAUCUGUAUCGCUUCUUUUGGGUUAUAAACAGCGCUACCAUGAUCAGAGAGGCCUUUGAACCUGAAAUGCCGACCCUUCCCCCUUUUGUCGAUCUUACCCCCUUUACCUCCUUCCAGCAUUUUGCAGAUAGUCAGAUCUCUAUAAGUGAGACAUUUCCCCCCGUUUCUUUUAUGCUCCAUUUUUGCAUUUUGCCUUUUUCAGCGCAGCAACAUGGUAUUAACUUUUAUGUCUUUGCUUUUUUUAUAGACAAGAUGGGUGUUGUUUUGCAUGCUUUGCCUGUGAAGGAAUCGCGCCCUGAGGUUCCUUCUGUUGUUUCUAGGGAUUAUGUCGUUGCAGAUCAGAGGUUCAUCUCCAUACUAAUGCUCUUAGUUGUUUUUCAUUGUCCUUGUACUCAUCUGCUUUUACCAUUUGCUUUCUACUUCCCUUACAGUAAUAUGCCUAUUAUUUUGACGCUAAUCGGUGAGAUUGAGUCUGAAGAGGGAGGGUCUAUAAUGAAUGCAGUGAGAUCCACUGAAUCCAGGCCAGUUAUUAUUGGUAUGAAAGUCAUAGUGAAGACCGACAAUUGUGAGUUCCAAAUGCUUAUAACUACACCUAUGUUAGUUUCCCUUUUUUGUUCUGUUGCUUAUUAUAUUUUUUUCUUUUACUUCCUUCCAGAUUUAUCCGUUUGUACUAAAGCUACUUCUGUUGUUUUGGUCUCCCCCAGAUUCAAGAAGCUUUGCAUCUUGAACGAUGGUUAUUUAUUCCUGCUUUUCUGUAUUCUUUUAAAACCAAACAACCAACACAAUCCCCCUCUAACUGGUGCCUACAUCAGCUUAUUAUUACUACUUUUGAUUCGUCUCUUUAUAGGUACCGUCAUAACUGUUCUGUGUUAAUGACUUCUGUUUUGGAGAAGAAAUACUGUAAUCCCUCCGUGCUGCUUCCUCCUGUUGGUGACACCAUGCUGUGCACCAUUUCCAGUGUUGCCACAGCAAUUCGCUUUGUUAUAGACCCUGCCCUUCCUGUAUUCGUUCUUUUUAAAAGCUUUUUUCUUGUUAUUGUGACACCACUUGUUCCGUUUCCCAGCCUAUAAGUUCUGCAUAGAUUAAGGGCCGAGCUACUAUUGAUCGCCUGCACAGGCUAUGGAAUUUAGCUUGUCCAUAUUGUUUUGCACCUAACGACUUUAUUGAGACUCUUGGAAUUUCCUGUGUUUCCUGCCUCAAGGAUCUUCAUACUUUUCCAAGGUACGCUGUUGCUACUUUUUUGUUUAGGCCUUGCUUCUGUUUGCUUGGAACUAAUGAAUUUUAUUUCCUGCCUGGUAUCUUUUGUUCUCAGAGCACGUGUUAAGUUGGACAUUGCUGAUGGCACUGGUUCCAUUUGUGUUAUUGCCUUGGGUUACGAAGCUGAGAAACUGAUGGGCUUUACUGCAUACCAGCUGAGCCAAUCUGAAUAUGAGGUGCGCUUUAGUUUGGUUAUUCGUGAGUGCUUGUCCAUUUCACACUACAUAUGAUGCACAUUUUUUCCUAACCCUUUUUUGCCUGUUGCAGGGUGUUAGCUUGAACCUCCGGGUUGCUGAUACUCUUGAUGGAAAAGAAUUGUUAUGUUAUGUUAAGCGUUCUCCUGAAUUCAUAAGAGUAACUGGAAUCAGGUUUACAAUUGUUACGUCAUAUUUGGUUGGAGAAGCUUCGUCUGUUGAAGAGUAAAAUGUGCCUUUCCUGCUUUGGUUAGAGUUCUAGGUUCCUUUGUGCUCCUACCGGUAACUUUGUUUAUGAUUGCCUUUUAUGAUGUAAUGCCUUGUAUAUUUCGCAAGGACCAAUUCUUCCGUCAAACGAUCCUUUUGUAAUGCCAUAUUGAUUUCGCCUUUUAUUUACUCGUGCUUUAUAAAUGACUUCAAUCUCCCACAGAUAAUUGGUAAACACAAUCUAGAUUCUUAUGAACGCACUACUAAAAAACGCUUUCUGGAACAAAAAAAAAUAAAAUUGAUUGCCUUUAAUGUCCGUCUCUAUUUCCCUAAAGCAACACAAGAAAAAAAAAGUCCCCACUAGCAACGAUUGUUAAGCCAAUAUAAAAGGAGGAGAAUUAUUUGCCCACCUAUAUUGACGAAAAAGUAAAGCCGCACAAAAACUUGUUAUUUUUGUCCUUCGUGGGACAGUCCGGACAGACCCCUUGUGCUAGAAACACCACACGCGCUGGAAGUUGGGUAUGUAUUACAUCCCGUUGACUUUGUGCAUCUGCUUUGGACCGGUCUGAGUCUUGUUUCUAUCACAAAACACCCCUGCCUCAUUCUUUUUUGCCCUUUUUCCUGAUACAUCGUGCAGUGCUUGCUUGUUUAUCUGUUUUGUAGAGAGAUAUUCGCCUGUAUAAUUUUUUGCCACAUUAAAUGCAGUUCAAAAAAACUUUCUACUUUCACGUAGCUGCAGGGCCGCCCGCUUGCCGCAGCACAAAAGAACUUCCACCCUUUCAAGCUUUGCUUGCCGAUGAUUGCUAUUUUUGUGCCUGCGUGCAGUCUGCUUUCAAGUUAUGGCAGGUGCGUCUGUAUUGUUAAGUUUGCCUUUAUCCUUUUCCCUCCCUGUUAUUACAUUCGGCACUGUCUUUCUUACUAUUGUUUCUCUUAUCCUUUCCGUUUGCUCUUUCUGCGAGGACGAGAAACUCUUCCAACCAUCUCUGAACAGGUUGAGAACUUCACUCGCCUCUUUUGGCCUGAGGGAAGCUCAAAAUUCUGGUAAUUACAUUUUAUCCCAAUUUUAUUACGCGUUCUUUAUGUUUGUUUCUUAGAUUUUUUCCCCAUUUUUUAAAUCUUUGGUUAAGGAGGGAUGGAACUUAAGAAGAGGGAAGGAGGCUGAGAACUUUUGACCCAAAAAAUAGUAAUUCCUUAUAAAUCAUAGGAGUUGAUUCCAUGUUUUUAUGUUUUUAAUGUUCUUGCGCAUUUGCUGCCUCAUGGUUGUAAAGUCAUAUAGGAGUCGAUAAUGCAGAUUUUUGGACUAAAAUAAGCCACAACAUAAUAAGAUGUCCUUUUUUUCAUAUGAAACAUGUAGGACAAAUUUUGAUAAGAAACUUUUUUUUCUUACUUCUAUUGCUUAUCUACUUCUAAAAUACAUUUAAAAAAAAUUAUUUGCGUUCUUGGGAGAAGGAGAAUUAGAAGUUGUUAAACUCCACGUCUUUUCUAUGAAUCAACCUAGCACAAGUUGAGAUUCUAAAUUAAGCUUUGUCAUUACAAGAAUCCAAUAAACAUUUAUGACAAAGUUUGAAGAAGUACCAUUUUGUUCUCAGUUUUUUUCGUCCCUUAUUACUUUUAAAAGGGAUUUUUUCGCAAAUUUGGUUUAUAUGAGUGUUGAAUUCCACCUUUUUCCUUAUGGACUAAACUAACGUACUCGAGGCAUGAAAUGAAAAGGUGUUCAGGAUAGAAAUAAUAGCAGGGAAAAUUGAGUAACUUUUUCUACUUUUAUCUUCACAAGUGUAUUUACUCUUUGAAUUCUUUGAUUUAUCAUUGAUUGUCUUAAACUAAUUCCAUUUUAGGUCUAGGGUCUUAUGAAUAUACUCUCUGCAACAUAUACGAUCAUUUGCGCUAAUUUUUCUUUUCCAGUAAACUAGCCUUUUCUUUUUUAAGUUUCUUGUUCACACAGGAAGCCUGGCUCUUUUUUCCUUUUUUCCCCCCUUCUCAGCUGCCGACUUGAAGGAGCCUCUGUGGGUGUUCCUCUGCAUUCUACUGCUGUUCGUCUUCCUACUUUAGAGAUCUAUCAGGUUUUACAUUUGCCUCUGUUGUCUUUUAUGUACAUACACUUUGUUAUUUGUUCUUUCUACCAUCUCAUUCUUGCCAUGCAGUCCUCCUUGGUUCAUACAUUCUUUUGCAUGUCUACUUUUUCGAACGUUACAAGCCAGUUCUUUUUUUUCCCCCUUUGUAGCUGGUAUUUAUUUGUUUCUGGUAGCUUCCUUUCAUGUUUGAAGUAUAUUUUUGUUUUUUAUGCUUCUUCCAGAUGGCUGUGCUUUUGAUUUUUUUCCUGUUACCAAUACAAUGAUGGUAUGUAGCUUGCUACUGGAUUGCUGUGACCGUAUGUAGCUUGUUACUAGAUUGACUCUUACUUUUUGCUUUCGUCCAGCUAUGUCCCCCCUGUAGCUCGUAGCCUGCCUUUUCCUCUUGUUUUGAACUGGUUGAUUGCCAUUUGUUUUUUUCUCCUUUCUGUUGCCUACGUUUUUAGCCCCUUUGACAGUAUGUUAGGAGUCAAGUUGCUGUAAAGCAUUUUGUAGCAACCUGUUUCUUCCUUCUAAAUUCCUGCUCCAGUUAUCUUUUUUCAUAUUUCUUUUGUUUGUAACUUAUGCCCUAUUAAGGCUUGCAUUUAUGGAUCGUAAUGCGACCCGCCGCAAAUGUUAUGCUGAAAUGCCACAGCAUUUGAGAGACGCCAUGCUGCGUCGUAGGAGAGAAAAGUACGCUGAACAGAGAGCACAAUCAUCUCCUGUUCAUGUUCCUUCGCCGAUAAUACGUCAGCUAAAAAAAUCUGAACAGAACAGAAAGGGGUAUCUUUCCAGAUCUAGAAUUGACGCUAGCGGUGCGGCCUUAUCCUGUCCAGCAGAUCAACCACUCGUUUCUGCUGCUAUCCAGCCAUCUACUAACAUGUCUGUUCUAUCUCAACAGCCUAUUUCUUCUGUUCCUUCGCCUCAGCCUUCGCUCCUACCUCCUGGAGGUAUACUUUUGCCUCGAUAGCUAUUCUCUUCUCCUACUGGCCAGACCACUUGGAAUACUUUGUUUUUCCUUUGCCUGCUUGUCUGGCCUUUUUUCCUUUCCAUACCAUAUUUCGCUCGUUCAAGGGUUUUUAUCUACUUCUUAUUGUUCCUGUCAGUUUCUAAUACUUUUGUUUCUCACCAAUGCCCUUUAUGCUUAGCAGCUGCUCGGCCUGGUUCUUCACCGGCCAGUCCUGUUCAACAAAGACAGCCUGCCAGGAGAUCACAGCCUAUCAUUGCGAAACGGUCCCGUUUAGAGAAAAUUCCAACUAAACCUCUAACUCUUCCUAAUGUACCACAUUGUCAGCAUUGUGGUGCAAAGAGGUUCUAUCUUGAACCUCCAGGUUUUUGUUGUUCGAACGGGGCAGUUUCACUUGUGCAACACGCGCUUCCUUAUGACCUCGUUCGUCUUUUCACUGGGAUGGACGAGGAAAGCACAGAAUUCCAAAGAAAUAUUCGCACGAUUAACAACAAUCUUGCUUUUACUACCUUUGCUGCAAAAUACGAUAGAAACCUCACAAAAAAUAGCCAUGGAGUUUACACGUUUCGUGUUCAAGGUCAGGUCUAUCACUUGCUUAACAGCCUUUCGCCUUCAGCCUCUCCUCCUACUGGUAUUCAAUUGUUGUUCUAUGACUAUGAUGAAGAGCUCUCGCUGAGACUUCAUGACUCACCUCGUUUACGUGGGAGUACUCUUGAAUUUCUAAUGCACGUGCUUCAGAGGAAUCCUUAUACCAGGUUCUUUAGGAGUCUUCGUGAUGUUCCUCAACUUGAGAAACAUAGGAUCAUACUCAAUUCUGAUCCAGGUUUGGACCAGCGAGUAUAUAACCUUCCAGCUACUUCUCAGGUAGCUGCGAUUUGGACCGAGUCGGAUGACCAGGCUCUCGAAAAAAAUGCCCACAUUCAGGUGUACACCCAUUCGAGCUCCUGUCAUAGGAUACAACAUUAUUAUGCUUGUUACGACCCCUUACAGUAUCCGCUCUUGUUCCCUCGCGGGGAAUCUGGGUGGCAUCAUGGUAUCCCAAAGAAACCUGCUCCUCCUAAGAGAAAACAAAAACCUGAUGAGGAUGAUAUGCUGGAUUUUUCCCUUAUAGAAGAACCUUCUGAUUUGAUUGCUCUUGAAAAUACAGGUAUUUUCAAGUGCUUAAAAAACUAUAGCGUUGUUUCUGCUCCCUGCCCAUUGAUCCUUCUAUUAGAAAAAUUUCUACCACAUUUAAUUUUUCCCUGCAGUGGCCGAGAAAGGGAAAGCAAAACGAGACACUGUUUCAGCUAGAGAGUAUUACUGUUACAAGUUCCAAAUAAGAGAAGAUGAUAGGUCGAUGCUCUUACACGCUAGAAGGUUGUUACAACAGUUCUCAGUUGAUGUUUAUGUUAAGAUUGAAACGUCGAGGCUGAAUUUUCAUAGGAACAAACAAAGGGAAGUUAGGUCUGAACUACUUAAGGGAAUCAUUGAUGGUGUGUCCACCGGCUGCAGUACUGGGAAUGACGUUGGUCGUCGGAUAUAUCUUCCGGCUUCUUUCAUUGGUGGUCCAAGAGAUAUGAAGCGUAGAUAUCUAGAUGCUAUGGCUUUGGUCCAGAAAUUUGGUAAACCGGACCUCUUCUUGACUAUGACCUGUAACACCAUGUGGAAAGAGAUACAAGAUAACUUGAAAUAUGAAGAAAAGGCUCAAGAUAGGCCAGAUUUGGUUGCUAGAGUUUUUCGGGCAAAAUUUGAGGUUCUUAGAUCAGAAAUUGUUAAGAAAAAACUCUUUGGCGAAGUUGCAGCCUUUGUUUAUGUAAUUGAGCACCAAAAAAGAGGCCUUCCUCAUGCACACAUGCUGGUGAUUUUGAAACCAGAUGCUAAACCGCUUAAUCCAGAUGCCUAUGACAGGAUAGUUUCUGCUGCGAGCUACCUGACCCAACAGAACAAAGCUACUUAUACUCCCUUGUUAUAAAACACAUGAUGCAUGGCCCUUGUGGUCACUAAACAAAGAAAAUGUCUGCAUGCGAAAUGGAAUGUGUAAGAAUCAUUAUCCAAAGGAAUAUCUUGAACGGACUACUCAUUCUGAAGAUGGUUACCCUCAUUAUAGACGAAGGCAGAAUAACCGAUCUGUUAGGGUAAGGAAUCAUUGUCUAGACAAUAGAUGGGUUGUCCCCUACACUCCAUACCUUCUUGCUCUUAUAGAUUGUCACUUAAAUGUCGAAAUUUGCUCCACUGUUAAGCUGGUCAAAUACUUGUACAAAUAUGUAUACAAGGGGCAUGACAGAGUCAGUUUCCAUAUUCAUUCUGAAAAUACUUCGGAAGAUAUAGAUGAGAUCCAUGAAUUCCAAUCUGCUCGAUGGGUUGCAGCUGCUGAAGCAAUGUGGCGCAUUUAUAGAUUUCCGAUUUCAGAAAUGUCGCCUUCUGUUUACACGCUUCAGCUCCAUCUUCCAGGCGAACAAAUGGUUUCUUUCCAUAGGAAUUCGAACCUAUCAGAUCUGAUCAACAGUGCAGAUUUUUCUAAAACAAUGCUGACUGAGUUUUUUUCCAUGAAUAGACGAAGUAAACAGACACGCAUGCUUAAAUGUCUGUAUCGGGAUUUUCCAGAGUACUUUGUUUGGCAUUCCGAUAAGAAAAAAUGGACUCGCAGAAAACGCAGAAAGGUCAUCGGAAGAGUGGUUGCGGUUAAUCCCAGUGAAGGUGAACGAUACUUUCUAAGGUUGCUCUUAUCUCAUAUUCGUGCGCCAAAGUCAUUUAACCACCUUCUUACUGUCAAUGGCCAACUUUCGUCUUCCUAUCGAGAAGCUGCCUUUCGGAUGGGCUUGCUUCAAUCUGAUGCUUAUAUAGAAGACACUCUUGACGAAGCCAGUACUUUUCAAAUGCCUUGGUCGCUUAGAGCCUUGUUUUCAAUGUUACUUGUUUUCUGUGCUCCUUCCAAUCCUAUUAGUUUAUGGGAGAAAUAUGAGAAGGACUUGUCAUCUGAUUUCGAAAGAAACGGCCUUGCAAAUGGCCGUGAUCCUGCUUACAUUAGGAGAUGUGUGCUGCAGGACAUAAAUAGAUCACUGGAGCAGAUGGGUAAACGCAUUGGUGAUUACCAUCUGGUCCCUGACGAUCAUUUGUUUACUGACCAUGAACGUUUUGCCAAGGAAAUUGAAAGUGAACGGAAUAUUCCCUUUUCAGAUGAUGAUUUGCUAACGGUUUAUCAAUUGAACGUUGGUCAGCAAGCUGCAUAUAAUACUAUUAUGUCAGACAUCUAUUCACCUGAUUGCAAAAGCUUCUUUGUCGAUGGUCCUGGAGGAACGGGUAAAACCUUUUUGUAUCGUGCCCUACUUGCUACGUUGCGGACUCAAGGCCAUAUAGCAUUGGCAGUUGCCUCAUCCGGGGUAGCAGCGUCUAUUCUUCCUGGAGGGAGAACCGCUCACUCACGGUUUAAGAUUCCUCUUGAUGCAUCAAGCACUAAGACUUGCCAAAUCAGUAAGCAGAGCUCGAUUGCUAAACUGAUUGUCAUGGCCAAGUUAAUCCUGUGGGACGAGGCUUCAAUGGCGAAGCGAGAUACCAUUGAAGCAUUUGAUCUACUCCUUAAGGAUAUCAUGGACAGUGACAAGCCGUUUGGUGGUAAAGUUGUCGUUUUUGGUGGCGACUUUCGUCAAACGCUCCCUGUCAUUCAAAAUGCAACACGAGAUAUUCAGGUUCAGGCCAGCUUUGUCAACUCUACUUUGUGGGGCAGCUUACAAAUAAUUACUCUAACGGAGAAUAUGCGAGCUCUUCUAGAUAAACCGUUUCAGAAUUCCUUCUUAGAGUAGGCGAAGGGACUGAACCUGAGGACGCAGAUGGCCGAAUAUCUCUAUCCAAUGACAUAUUAGUACCGUAUGAUAGCAAGGAUACUUCUCUUGACAGGUUGCUUUCUAAUUCACGCCUUUUAUAUAUAUCGCCAUACGUUUCUGCAUUAUAAUACUUCCGUUGGUAUUCAUUUGAACGCACCUACGGGAUAACUGUACUGCUAUUUAUUAUAGCAUCGUCAUAGGCGACCCUGCCGCAAAUUGUAUUUGUCUUGACUAGCUCCUAUGAUCACACAGGUUAAUAGAAUCAGUGUUUUCAGACUUGCGGCUUUACUCUUUGGAUCCCUAUCUAAUGAUAAAUAGGUGUAUCCUAUCCGCAACGAAUAGUGCAGUUGAUGAUGUAAAUCAGAUGAUAAUUAGUCGUUCCCAGGUCAGCCUUAUACUUAUACGAGCACUGAUAGAACACUUAAUGAGCGCGAUCAAGGAGAUUACGAAGAUUUUCUUAACUCUCUGAAUCCAAAAGGCCUCCCUCCUCAUAAAUUAAUCCUAAAGGACAACUGUCCAGUCAUUUUGCUGCGCAAUCUGAACCCAGCUGAAGGUCUCUGCAAUGGCACUCGCCUUAUCUGCAAAGAGCUCGGGAAAAAAAUACAAUCUGUGCUGAGAUUGCCGUUGGACAACAUCGAGGCAAAAAGGUUUUACUUCCAAGGAUUCCACUUCAAUCAGCCGAUAGUGAGAAGAAUGGUAUUCCUUUCAAGAGGACUCAAUUCCCAAUUAAACUUUGUUUUGCAAUGACUAUUAAUAAGUCCAAGGUCAGACACUAGAUUAUGUGGGAAUUUAUUUACGUGAACCGGUCUUUUCCCAUGGACAACUGUACGUUGCUCUUUCUCGUGCAAAAACAUCUACAUCGGUCAAGUUCUCAUUGUACCAGGGACUUAUAGUGAUUCUGUGACUUCUGGUAAAACGAGAAAUGUUGUUUAUCGUGAGGUUUUGCAGCUGUCUAAAUCAUCAUUUUUUUGACUUGGUUAGCUCUUCUUGAUUUUUUCUAUAUUGAUCUGCAAUUUUUUCCUUUUCAACUGAUGCUGUUUGAACAUUUAACGAAGUACAAAGAAACAUAUUUAUCACUUAUUACGUAAUUAGCUUGUUCCCUCCAGGAUGUCUGAGUUGCUAAAAUUGCUGAUAUCAAGCCAAAAAUGCAAAAUUGGACAGCCAAGGUUUUUGUCAAAGAAAAGAUGCAUCCUGGUUCGGGCAAGACUAGCCGACAAGAUAUCAAAAAUUUGUGCUGUCUGACUCAGAGGUUUUUCCCUCAGCCUUUUUGCUUCUGUCGCCUUUACCAGAUGUCUAACCUAGACUAAUCCAUUUCAUGUUAUUUGUUAGCAGGGUUCUAGGGUCCAGGGUAUCCUUUUCAACAAUGCUAUUGAAAAGAUGGGUCCGAAGCUGCAAUUGUAUAAGAAAUAUCGUAUCUCCAAUGCUGAGGUGAGAGAGAUUGACAAGAAAUAUCAGUUUGAUGGAAUAACCAUCCAGUGGGUUAUCAGCACUCGUACUGUUGUUGAAGAAGAUGACGAUGACGAUGGCUCCAUCUUGCCCUUCCAUUUUGAUUACAUCCCUUUUAGAGACUUCCCGCUCUUUGUUGAUUCGAAGAGCAAAACUGUUGGUAAUCUAACGUUAAGUUGCAUACCUGCUACAUUUGAUAAAAUCAUCAAAUCCUCCUUUCAAAUAGUUGACACUUUUAAAUCCUUGAUAUUAGAUGUCCUCGGAGUGGUCAUCGAUGUACAGUCUGCUGAGCCAAUCAGAAUCCAAUCGCAGGAUUCAUAUGUCCAGCGGUUUGUAAUCGUUAACGAAGAGUAAGUUUCUAAAAAACCUGUUUUCCUGCGGAUCCUUCCUUCUUUUCUACACGCCGCUUACACGUUCAUGCAGAUAUGUUGUGAUUUAUUACAAAACUGAUCAUAUAAUUUGGAAACCAGAAUACAACCUUCUCUUCAAAUUAUCGCUUACGAAUACAGGCUGGUGUCUUACGAUUUAUUAGAAAGCUGAUCAUAUGCUUUAAAAAACAGAAUGCAGCCAGUUGUUCUCUCUCUCUGGAAUAGGUUUGUUGAAACUGAAGGCAAAGUUCUUAUGCAGCUGCUUAAAAAGAGGCCAGUUCUUAUUUGCCGCAGGGUCAAAGUUGUCUCUUAUAAUGGUAUCCUUACUUUAUUUCCUUAUCAAGUUGUCUCUUUUUAGGUACAACAAUGUUCACAAAUGAUACUGAUAUGAGGAUACUGCCUUAUUUCGAUUUCAUUCCUUAGUUAUUCUUGAGUUAGCAUAUUUCAUUUUUUUUUUCUGUUUUCUAAAUACCAUGCACUCCUCUUUCUGGCAGGAAUUGCGCUCUCCACUAGAAACGAUUCGGUGCUUCUCAUUGAUCCACCUAUUGGAGAUGCAAGCCAUUUGAAAACUUGGUUAGUUCGAAUUGUUUCUUUUCACCUUCUGCCGAUUUCAAGAGUAGCAAUUGUAUAUUGUACCUGCUAAUUAUGUACUUACUUUUAUCUUCUAUCAAAGGGCAAUGAGAAAUGAAAGCCAGUUUGCUACACUGGUUCAGGAAAAAACUUAUAAUAUGCAUAGUCCCAGGAUGUUUCAUCAGUCAAAGCACAAAAUUUCUACUAUACAGGCUGUCCUAGCAACUCAGAAGGUCAUUAUAUUAAAAUACCUGCGCUUUGUCGCUUGUUAUUAAAAUACCUGCGCUUUAUUAUACCUGCGCUUUUGUUUUGAUGUUCACAGCUCGCCUGGGUUAAAGCUCGUUUCUGUUUCCAGAACAUAUUCCAAAAAUAUUGGUAUAUGUCUUGUGUUAAGUGUCAUCGUCAGACAUCGGCCAACUAUGGCCACACUUUUACCUGCAAUCACUGUAACGAAAGGCAGCCUGCGACCCCGCGGUAAGCUACAUAUUCCUGUUUACUGAACAUUGAUCUGUACUGUUGAAGCAUUUCCUAUUUUUUUCAUGUUAUUUAACCUUCGAACCAGGUGCCGCUUUGAUGUUGAUCUAAGUGAUGAUACCGCCGUUAUGACGGCUUCUGUAUUUGGUGAAUUAGCUGAGCAAUUGCUUGGCAUUUCUGCUGUUGCGGCAAUGGAUUUUUAUAACAAGGUUUAUAUCACGAUAAUGAACUAAUGCUCUACUAUGUAAAACAAACAAAAAUCCGCAUUAUGAAGCCCUUUGUUGCUAUUUACAUAGCCAUUUUCCUGAAUUUAUUCUCAGAAUGAAGAACUCCCGCUCGAACUAAUUCAUGACGCAUUGAAGUUCAAGACAUUCAUUGCUCAAGUUAAGCCUGGAAAUACAAAGAUGAUGGGACUUAUCAGCGAUAUACAAUUGUUUAUUACUUUGAAGACAACGGAGACCAAGAACUCCUUGAGGAACAGCCCCUAAGUAGUUCUCAUGUGGCCAGUCAGCUUUCUGUAGCUGAUACUCCAGGUAUUUGCUACAUGCUUAGCCAUAUACUUUUAAAAUACCCAUUCACAAAUCUUUUUUUAUUUAUUUUCGCUUGUUCUGUUGCACAGAGAAACCAUGUUCUUUUUCAAAAAGCCAGCUCUGCUUUGAUAAGAAGCAAAAUGUUCCCGAAGCAGAAAGUCAGUCUUCUGCUAUUAACAUUUCAGGUAUUUCCUAUCCCUUCCAUUAAUCACUAUUUUCCAUCUUUGUUGGGUUUUAUCUAUAGAUAUGUUUGUUUCGUGUGCAGAUACGCCGUGUGGUUCCUCAAAGGCACGCGUUUGCCUUGCAAAAAGAAUGGAACUCAGCGAGGUAGCCGAAGCUACUAUAUCAGAUACUUCUGCCAUUGCGAGCAGCAAAAAACCAAGGAAUGCUUGAUUUGCUUGUCCUCAUCAGAACAUCUUUUGUCGUUACUCUUGCAGCUAUGUAGGCCUAUUUAAGCAUACGCUCUUAUUAGAUACUAUAUGCAUCAUGUACUUUUGCAGGUAACGAAAAAACAAGUAAUGCUUGGUCUAUUUGUCCUUAUAAGAAGGUCUUCUGUCAUCACACUUCCUGCUCUUGGCCAGCGGUCUUUUGUCAUUGUAUUGCCUGCUGUGUAAACUUGUCUCACUUGACUAUGUUCACGAUGAUCUGUCGCUGGAGACAUAUUGAUGACAUUUAAACCCCUUUAUGUAUGGCCUGUUUCCAGCUCAUCUAUCUACUAUAUGUCAUUAUGCUUAUUUUCCUUAUUUGAUCCCUGAACUAAAGGCACAACUUUCUGAUAAUCAAUUGCAUUGCAUUUCAUAUAUCUACGUUCAGAGAUAUAUUGUUUCUGCAUUAAAGCCUCUGCAAUGUGCUAGUGCUGAGACUAACUACGGAUAUACUCCUCUGAAAUUAAAGCCUCUGCAAUGUGCUGAUGGUGAGACGAUCUUAACAACGUCCCUAAACUACCUGUUAAGAAACAAAGUUCCACAGUUCCAUUUUUUCAAUAAAUACAGAAUCUUUAAUGUAGCUAUUAAGUCUAUGUCUAAACAGGUACCGUGGCUGCAUUAUAUCAGAUCAUGUUGCGGUCUCUAUCACUUAAUUGAACUAAGAAACUAAAAUGGAAUUGAUAAAACUAUUCCAAACAAAAAAACAAGGAAUCCAGAGUUCCUCUGUACAAGAAAAUUGCAGAAUCUUUAAUAUGGCUAUUAAACUUGUAUCUGAACAAGUAUCAAUGUUCAGAGAGUCUCUAUUCUAUUUGAUAUAUCUAAACUCUGUUCAGCUGAGAUAAUCAAUUGCUCCGUUUCUAUUUUAGAAAGUCUAGACACCUCUCUUUAUUGCACAUACAACAGAAGACCGUGUUUCAGUCUCUCUAUUCAUUUCUCAUUUACCUCAUUCAACUACCCUCUCUGAUGGCUUUCUUUUCAUUACAUCAUGUAUUAAACAACAUGGUCUUAUAAAUAAAGCUCAUACAUUCAUGAAAACAUACUCCCAUUACUUUCUAACCCCUGUUGCAAAACCCAUCACUUUUCCAAUGGAUAAGCCUAGAAAUCCUUUCAAAAAAUGGAAAGCAGUUGGAACAGAUAACAUAAAGUUUUUCCUUUGCACAUUUGAUAAAAAACGCGUCCAUGCUGCAACAGCGAAGACAUCAGAUGAAGGAACAGCUGUAUACUAUACCAGCAGAAAAUUCAUUGAAGAUUAUCCAAUGGUGCGGCAGUACACAGGUGAACCAUCUCUACACUCUAUCACUUCCGUCACUCAGUGGUUGCAAAACAUCAUUGAUAUCAGUUCAGAAGCUUUUGCAAAUACAGGUAUAUGAUCCUGUUUCCCAGUUUCCAUUAUUAUAUGUUCGAAUCUUUUUCCGUUCAUGCUAAAAAUAUUUUUUAUUUUUAUUCCUAACUAUAAUAGUUACAGAAAUGGCUGAUCAAGAGGUACCCCAAAUACCAGAAGGAAGACCAUGGUGUCACGUUUUCUUUUGCUCAAACAGAGAAAAGCAGGUUACCUGUUCAGAUCACUAUUAUACAUUCUUUUAAAAACAGAUAAAUUCACACUAGCUUUUUUCUCUUGUAGGAAAUCUCUGCUGCUAUUUUUCAUUCACUUGGUCUUCAAAACGGUAAUGCUAUUACAAUCUACCAUGGUAUACAGCAUUGGCAAAUCAACAUCAAAGAUGGAUGUUUCGAGCAAGGAUGGCAUUCCUUCUGCAACGACAAUCUUAUUGACGAAAAUAAUAUGGUUUUCUUGCGCACAAAAGGAAAUCUUAUUUAUGAUGUUUAGCUUUCUCUGAGACACAGACUCACAUUUUAAUGCCUUGGACUCUUCAUUACAAUGCUCUCAAACAAAGGCAGCUACUUAUUUCCUUAAUCUUUUUGUUACAGAUAGUAUCCUUUUUUUUUGGCUUCCAAGGUAUUUAGUAUCCCUGACAUGUUUUCUUUUGUUACUUUAUGAACAGACUAUGGAGUCCCAGAAUCAAUCAUCCGUAUUGCCUCAUCUAUUAAUCCAUUCCUAAAACAUGAUUGGACUGCAUUCGAUUGUUUUUAUCAAUUUUAUCUAUCAAAGUACAAAUACAAGCUGGUAUUGUUUUCCACUUCUUAGGCUUAUUAGGUUUCUUUUUUUUUUGUGUGUAUAUUUACUCAUAACGUUUUUUUACAUGCAUGUACAGGACCUACCAGAAUUUGCAGACCUAAGGCUAAAUGAGGAUAACACGCCAACCAUAACUCUUACAAGUGGUCAUAAAUAUUACCAUGUUGGUAUGACCGGCAGAUUAUUUGAUCAAAAUUGGAACCAUUUUGUUAUUGAUCAUGCUCUAAGAAAUGGUCAGAUAUUGCUCUUUAUUCCACAAUCCAAGACUUCCUUUGCGUACUGGUGUUCGAUCGAAAAGGGAUAGAGAAGUUGUAUCCAUGGCACUUUGCAUUUUCCAUUUGAUAAUUUGCCCACUGGAAAUUUAAUGUUCAGCGAGUUGCUGCUGUUGUUUAUCGCUUUAAGCUUUGAUAAUGAACUUAUCGAGCUCUAAUAAAGAAUGUACUUCGGUUACCUCGUUUUGAUAUUAAGCUUUGAAAGUAGAUGUUUCAACGGAAUGUACUUAUUAGCUUUUGAUAUUAGCAAUAAAGUUGAUGCUAACUUUGGUUACAAAAAAACACGUGCCUGGUAUAAUUUUUUAUCCAUUUUGACUACAAGCUUGAAUAGCAUUUUCAAUGGUGCAUUUUUUUUAUCCAAUGUGAUGGUUGCAAUCUUAAGCAUUUCAAUAACCAUCAAAGCAGAAAAAUUAGCUUAUCAGCCUUUUUAGAUGGGUGUAGUAUUCCUAUGUAACUAGGUUUGCCUCCGACUAAACCCCUCCCCCCCCAGCAACAAAAAAGAAAAAGGAACCAAAAAUAUUUCUCUUAGCUUCCAUUUAUCAUAUGUCAUUUGUCAAAUAAAAAAACAAAAUAUAAAUUAUUUCCCUCGUUCUAAUUAUUUUCUUUUCUUAACAUUAGUCUUCAAGACAUUUUUAUUAAUAAAUGUAUCAUAAAUUGAUACCAUAAUAACACAGGGAUAACCUUUUAUACAGCGACUAUGUUACAUUUGAAGAUAUUGAGUACGCUAGGAUAGUGGCGCAGUCAUGAUCAAAUACAUAAAAAUACAAUAAUUUGAAAAAAAUAAAUUAAAGCUUAAAACUUACAAGCCAAUAACAAACAUUCAAAUACUUUUAAUAAUAGGCCUAAAUAAAAUACAAAAAAAAAUGUUAGAACUUAAGAAAUACUGAAAUUCUAUACCACCUAUUCAUGCCAUUCAAAAUCAGAAUGGAAACUAACAAAAAUGUAUGAUAAAAAAAAGAAAAUAUUUGAUGGAAUGACAAUAUUAAAAUUAAUUUAUAAAUUUUUUAAAGUCUAUUAUUAUUUACCUCUGACUACUAAAUAAGAAUAAUUUAUAACAAAAUUAAUAGUUUUGAUGUAAUACAGGUAGAAAAAAAUUUCUUAAUUUGGAAAAUUAUUAAAGAGUCAUGCCUUGAAAACAAACUACAGAUAUUUAAAUGUUGGUCUCUUAAUUAUUAACAUAAGUAGAGGAGCUUGUGCUCUCUUUCCUUACUCUGUAUUAUAUACUACGCUGGCUCCAUCGUUUCAUCAGAAAUGGUUUUCUAAAAAAUGUACAUCGCCAAUUGCCAUUCACAAACGCUUUGUGAGAAACAUCCAAGAAAUAUCAACAAAACCUCAGACUUCUAGAAUUAUAUUUUUCUACAUAAAUUAUUAUUUUGAUUAGUUCAAAACUGGGCAGGGCAUUUUAUAUUUCUAUCGCGCGAAGCGCGUACAUGCCUCCUAGUUUAACUAGAAAUGGGCUUUAGAGGGUUUGGUGGUGAUCUGAAUUAUCAUUUUUAUGCGGAAUUCAAAGCUGAAAAGUUUUAUUAAGUUGAAAAUAGAUCCGCAGCAAUUGUGGAAGAAAGUAAACAAAAAACAGUCACUAUUCACAUAAGAAUAAACACAUUUUAUUAACUAUCAAAUAUAUAAACUAAUAGCUAAAUGUAUUAUAUACAUUAAGAUUCCAGAUGCAGACUUAGGCUCCGUUUCAUAACACUGAAUCUGAAUUCUGAAUUCUGAAUACUGAAAUAAUUAAUUUGCUAAAUUUUAAGCACUGAAAAGAGAUAUAUGAAUGUUUAAAUCUUAAUGCUGAAUCUAUUUAUACUGUUUGAUAAUAAUUCAUAACUUAAUGAUAACUUAAUAAGCUAAAUUGUACAAUUUUGCCCUUCUAUCUUUUAAUCCAAAAACGAAAUAGAACCUAUGAUUUAAUUAACUUAAAUUAUUAGGUAUGAAAAUGACAAUGAUUGUGAAGAGCAAUGCAUACAAUGACAAUGUUUCUUUGUGUGGGAAAAGGGUAUAGUUUAUUUCAUUUUGAGAAUGGGAAAACAAGCUUUUAAUAUACUCCAAAAGCACGUUCAAUUACAUUUCUCAAUCUUGCAUGUGCUUGGUUAGCGUUUCCUUUUGAUCUUGGACGAGAAGCAUUUCGAAAAUCAGACAACCAAUAUCUAAUAUUUCGAUAUGGUGUCAUAAAAACCACGUGUGUGUGGAUAAGCUGCAUCACAUAAAUAAUAUUUAUCUGCACAAAAAUAUAUAUAUCAAAAUAUAAAUGUUUGUGAUAAAAUUACUGCAAAAAAAAUACUAUUGUUAAAAAAAAAUUUUGAAUAGAGAAUAUCAGGUUGUUUUGUUUAAUUAGAUAAGAAUUUUAAAUGUAAUUAACAAACAGGGAUAUAUUUGGUAGAUAAGAUAAAGUAGUUGAAGUAAAUCUCUUGAUUCUUAUUAAAUUAAGCAUUCAGCUACGAUUCUUGUGCUGAAAAAAAAUACAAUACAAAUUCAGCACCACUUAAUAAGUUCAGCAGGUGAAUUUUUAUUUAUCAAAUACCCACAACAUCUGAAUGUCUGAAUGAAUUCAAUUUCAGCAUUUUUUAUGUUAUCAAACAUGCACUUAGUCUAGGAAUAUAUAACAAAUUCUCAUUCCAAAGCACAAAACUAGAAUUAGAAUGAUUAUUAAAAACUACAUUUUAUUACAUAAUAUAGAAAUUGUAAAGAAAACAAAACAAAACAAAAUUGCUGGAGUUGGAGGGAGAGCCUUGAGAUAGAUUCAGUAAAGUUGAGGAAAAAUCAAACCAAUGCUUAAAAGGUUGAAAGUAGUUACUUGGUAUUUGUUUUUAAUAGUACUAUUUUUUGUAAUCCAAGUCAAUGUAUAUAGGGAAAUUUGCCAAAUUGAUCCCUAACAUUUUCACAAAAAACUUUUUUAGUCCUUAAUAUUUAAAAUCAGCCAGAAUAGUUCCUAACAUAUAAAUUAUGAGCCAGUUUGGUCCUAAUGCUCGUAUUUGCUCAUUUCUUCGACUAAAAACAGCACACCUCUCUCACAUGGGUAUAAUUUCAAGAGCAAAAUUGGAAAACAUUCGUUAAUCCAUGAUUUUACAGGCAAAACCCCCUUUGGAUUCCUAUUACUUUUCUCCCUUUCCCUCGACACCAUUUUGCAAACUAGCCAGAAACCAUCAACAAAUUUCACCUUCUCAGUCAAAACAGCUUUUGCACUUUCCUUGAUUUCCCUAUCCCCAUAUCAAACCCCAAGCCCUUCUUCAAUUUCACCAUACCUCUCAAAAUAAUUCAACAAAGUCUCAGAACUCAUCUCAGUUGGUUGGCACAUUCUCCACCAAUUUUAUUGCUGACAAACCAUCAAUUUUAUUGCUGGGGUUUUUUAGGGCAAGUAAGAAAGACUCAACAUUCUUGAAAGUAAAAAAACCAUAUAGACUUUUGAUAAAAUCUUGCGGUAGGAUGGGAUGUCAUCAACGAUGGAAAGAACGGUUUGGAGAAUGCUAGGAUGGACAAUCGCAGCUUCUGAAGGAUUCAACAAUUUGGGAUUUCGUGAAGGAUUACAAAAUGCAAAAUUUCACCUUCUUCAAACUUCAAGUUUUCUGGUUCUCUUGAGAUCAUCAAGCUUUGGGUUAGUGGUGAUGGUGGAAUGCAUCUGAUGGAGUAGGUGCAGGGAAAAUGACUCAAGAUUGACUCUAGGGGGAGUGGGUAGAGUUAUGGAAGAGCAGCCAUUGAGAACUUGAACUUUGAAGAGAAUAUUAUCUUUCUUUCAGAGUCUAAAACCAUGGAUUAACGAAUGUCUUCCGAUUUUGCCCUUAAAAUUAUAUCCAUGUGAGAGAGGUGUGCUAUUUUUAGUUGGAGAAAUGAGCAAAUACGAGUAUUAUGACCAAACUGGCUCAUAAUUUAUAUGUUAGGAACUAUUCUGGCUGAUUUUAAAUGUUUGGGACUAAAAAAGUUUUUUGUGAAAAUGUUAGGGAUCAAUUUGGCAAAUUUCCCAUGUAUAUAAAUAGAAUUCUAGGAGGAGACUUGGACAAAGAAGAAUAAGUGAGAGCAAUUGAAAAGAAGUAAAAUUGACAAUGAUCAAACGCAUCAAUUGAAAAAAUUCUUUCUCUGUAUCAUCUUUUGGGCUUGAUAAAUAGCUGUGCAAAACGUGGACAAGGCAUUACUGUAUCAAUUGUUGCAAUAUAGAUUGACCUAAAAUUUUUUAUAUCAAAUUUCAAUUUUAUCAAUGUAAUACAUGAGUUUUUGAACCGGGAUUCAAAACUUUCUUGAAUCUUAAUAUGUAGAAGUAGAACUGAAUCCAUAUACUAUUUAGGCCCUAAAUUUUCACCUAGCUCAGCUGUUCCCCAAAACAGUAUAGGGUACUGUUUCUGCAGGCAAUAUUACCUUUACAGGUCCUAUUUCUUUGAUGUUUGGGGUGCAUUUUAUAAUCCUUUUUUAUUACUUUGGCCAUGUAUAAGACUGCAAAAAAAAGGGUGUUUCUUUAAGCUUACAAAACAACAAAAUUCAGAGAUUCCAAUCUUUAUGUGACUUUGAUCAAUAGCAUCCUUGCCAUUGCAGGCGAACACAGAUGAUACUUUUGGCAGCGGUUUUAACGCAUGCUGUUAAAUUGAAUUAGAUAGGUUGACAAGAAAGAAGCUAUUCCAUGAAAAACAAGAAGACAAUACAUUGACAAAUCAAUAGGAAACUAAAAUCCCAAUUUUCCAAAUACAAAAAAAGAAGAUAACACAUAGAGAUAAUCACCAUAAAGAGGAAGGUGUGCUUCAUACAGUCAACCAGCAUUGACAAAUUGAAAACAGAGUUUCUAAGUUUCAAUUCCCUGGUUGGAAGAUCACUUCAACUUUAGGCGAUGCUCGUGAGAACCGCAACAACUCCUUUGAUGUGUUCAACCUGUCAAUAGGAUCAAGGUCUUGGUUUCUUCAAUACACAUUCUUUCAAGUGAUGGGGAGCAGGCUAAUAGAAGCUUUACAAGAAGCAGCUCAGAUGUCGAACCUUAAACAUUUGCAUGAUCACAGUCUGGAGUCCUUUAAAACUUUGUUUCAUCAGACCUGGUUCUUUCAAGUAACUGACAGUUUUCUCGUCGUAUAUGAUCUGCUUAUCCUGUUAGACAGAAAACAAAAUCAGUACCAUUAGCAACAUUUCAAUGGGGAAAAAUCAUGAUUAGUAACAAUUCUUACCGCCCAAAUCUCCAAUUCAGACAAGUUCAAAGCACUCUGCAAUAAGCAAAGAAUGCAAGCAAUCUCGGCACAGUGAUAGGUAAUACGAAAUUGGGUCAGAGAUAUCAAGGAGUUAACUUGAUCAAUCGAAGCCUCUGAGGAAUGUCACCUGCUGCCAGAUGCUAUGAAGUAGACCACGAAAUGAAUCCAUUACUCGAACAUGUUCAAGUGCAAACAACCUCAUCUAUGUUAACCAGAAAGAAACAGAAAAGAACAAAUACCUUGAGAAAUGAUCCGUUCAAAUAAAGACACUCGAGUUCAGGCCAACAGCCAAGAAGCUUUGUCAAAAGUAAUGUUCUUAUCCAAUUUAUCAUGUUCAACUCCAUCUGAUAAUCCAAUGCACACCUCUUCCAGGUCUUUGCAGGUGAUAUAAUAGCUCAAGUCAAGAUCAUCAUUGUCCAGAAGAUUCAAGAUUCUAGUGAUGAGUAGAUACACAUAAAAGUUGGAUGCCAAACAGUUUUUAACUCUAAUUGAACAAGUUGAGAGAUUAAGGACUGAGAACUGAAAGGUGACUGUUUCCAGAACAAGGUGAGUGAGCUUUCCGAAGAAGCCUUCUGAGUUUGGUGCGCUAAAAAUACAUUUAGUCACGCUUAUUAGGCAAGUUUUGGACAACUGAAAGCAUAACAAGGUACUUUGUAAGGAUUAGGACUUCUGUUAUGAAGAAUGAGUUCAGUCACAUCUUUUCUCGAGACGAAUAGCAACCACUGAUCAAUGCUGGAGUAUUGAGUUGAAUACAACUCUGGAAUGUCAAGAACAAAUUUCAAAAUGGGUCCAAGGUGUUGAAAAAGUAUUCCAUUGACUUUGUUUACAUAUUCGGUUCGCGAAAAAGUUCGGUGAAUUGUUUCGCAUUAUCUCUGCGUAGAAUUGCUCAGUCAAGAACAACCUCUGGAUAUUCAGCCCAAAAAUAUCUCCAUUUGCUCGACAAAAUACUCGUUCUUGCUGCAUCUCGAAUGGGCAUGCGUCCUAUUAUAUUCUGUAUGGCAUUUAUGGGAAGGUUUGAGAGUCUAUCUACUGCACCCCUUUCCUCAGCAACCCUUGCACGAUUAUCAGCAGUCAUGAUUCUGCUGAUAAAAGCAAAUGAACACAACAGAAGGAGACUAUAUAAUAUUGAAACAGUACUGUCUCCUUACUAAAUUAACAGUUCAGCAGAAAGCAACAUCCGCAACACACAUUCCAAUGUGCAAUGGACAAAUGAAAGCCAUCAUAUUAAAAAGACAAGAUGAAAACAGAUCCACCAAGGGAAUACUUACUGCUAACCAAGCUGCUGUGCGGUCAUUCAAACAUCACAAGUUAAGGUUUGGAGAAAAGACAGUUUACAACUUUCAAAACUAGGCUAUCAUCCAUCAUUCCUAUGUAUAUCGUGAUUACGCAUAACCUAGCAACAAGGGAAUACUAGAAAAUUUAUACGUGUUUGGACGUAGAUUACCAGCAACAAAGAGCCAACCAUUAUAGUGGUAAUCCAGCAAAAUAAGUUUAAUAUUGAGAUUCGAUUAAGGCCUACUCAAAUUCAAUCACGAAUAAACUCAAGUUGAGUUCACCAAAAAAAUUUGGUUAUUAGUUUUCACGUAUUCUUGUAAUAUGAACAUUCAAAAUUAAGAUCAGAGCUUAUUUUAGAAUAAUUUUCUAGAACUUUUUUGAAAUAGACGUAUAUGUGAGAUAAAAAAACGUAUUUGGAAAACAUAUUUGAUGUUUUUACGAACAUAUAUAUAAAAAACCUAACCAUCCAUCUCCAAGGAAAAAGAGAAAAUUAAUAACUUCACUAUCUAAGCCACUGAGAAUCUAGAACCCAUAAAUUACCGGAGCAUCCCCCCCCCCCGGGCCAAAAAAAAGAAAAAAAACUUAUAAAGAAGGGGAAAUUCUGAACACAAGUUUUUGAAGCCUUACAGAAUUAAAAGAUCUUUUUUCAGCUUAAACCCUUCAAUUAUUUUCAAGAAAUGAUGUAUGUAUCGCAACAUAAGUACUUGUGCUGCUAAUUCUAUUUGCAAAUUUGCAAAAAUAAAUACAUAAAUAAAGAAUCUAGCGUUUUCUUUGUACUAAUUGCAGAAACGAAGCAAAAAUAGUGACAACAAAUUAAGUUACAAACUAAGUUCCAGUUCAUUCUAUCAAGCAAAUUGUAAACAUACCAGGAAUUGAGAAUCAUAGUUCUAUAGACACAGACGGGCUUAUUCAUGGACAAGAUGCCCAGAAACCAGGAGAGAAACUCUGCAAAAAAAAAAAAAUACUAAAGAGUUUUUGGAGAUUUAUGGCCAGUUUGGGAGUUUAACAUAGAAAAGAAAAGAAAAGAAAGGACUCAGAAACAAGUUUCCUUCAAAGUUGUUUGGAAGUUUAAGAAAGAAGAAAGAAAGACAAAAUCUUUUCAUUUGGGAGUUGAAAAGGCAAAGAAAUGUUUAACUAAUAUAUUGUGUACCCGUGAACUGUGUGUAACAAUUAUUAAGGAAAAAGAUGCCAUUUAAAAAAGUUAUAUCUUUUUGCCUUUUCUAAGGUGAAAACAAGUCGAGUUUAAUCGAGUAACGCGCAAGUUUUUGUGUCGAAUUCAAGCUUGAGUUCAAGUAGUUCGAGCUACUUCAUGAAUCGAGAUCAAACUUAAUAUGUGAAACUCGAAAAUUUAUCGAACUUAAUCUAGCUUCACAUAGAUAGGUUUUUUUAUUGUUUUUAUUUAUUAAUAUGAAAUGUCUAUUUUAUCUCUUAUUUAAAAUUAUAUAAAAUAUAAAUUUAUAUUUCUUACUUCCAUUAGACUCGAUUGGACUCGAUAAACAUGAGCUCGAGUUCGAACUCGAGUAAUGAAAAAUAAAAUCGAGGUCAAUCUGGAGCUUAACUUUCAAGAGUUCGAGGUCGAGCUCGAGUUCAAGUCCAAGUUUGUUAACUCAAAUCGAGCUUUAGUGCACUACUCAAACUCAACUCGAUUCGAUUACACCCCUAGCCUUUCCUUCCAAAUCAGGAUACGUUUAGGAGGAAAACUUGUCCGGGAAGGAAAGUGCACUCCUAAUUCUUUUACUUUCCUAUCAAAUGAUCGAGAACCAUCAGUCUAGUCACUGCACUAGAACAAUAAAACAAUGAACUUCGAGAAAGCUAUAAACACCACAACAUUCCAGUGGGAACACAGAUAAAUGUCCUCAACUUCCUUUAAGUAGAGGUCCCCCCACCCAAAGAAAAACAAGGGCAGACCAUGUCCCAUCUGACAAAUUUAACUCUGCCAGGAUACCUUAGCUACAAAGAUUCCACUCUCAUUAGAUACCUAACCAUCCUGUUGAUAUAUACAACUUAUCCAAUGUUUGAAAAUACAACAAAAAUGUUGCAUCUCAAGUAGACUAUCAACACUACAAGAUCCAAACAGGGCACACCACACCAUAAACUACUUUUAACUCCCUUUAACUAGAAACCCCUAUACAUAAAUAUUUGAUGAUGAACCACG
rnacentral:lncRNA from 1 species